rnacentral:lncRNA from 1 species
CCAAGAUGACCUUAUCAAUUUGCUUUCUAAAAUUAACAUGACGCUUCCUCUUCAGAUAAUCGAAAGCGUGGGAGGAAAAAGGAAAAUGCCUACAUAGAUAUAGAUUUAACAAACAUGGUGUUUCCUUGUUAUUCGGACUCAAGUGCUUUUGCAACUGCAACUUGAGACAGAAAGAUUUAAUGGGUAUGUUGGAUCUCUCUUUUGUUUUCUUGUCAGUUAAUGAUGGUUUAUGUUUUCUUUUGGAGAGUAAGGUGUUUUUAUGUCAUGCAUGACGAGACUUGUUCAAAGGCACUUCUUUUGUUAAAAAAGAUGUGAUUUUCAUGCAGGUUUCAGCAAAUAAGACUCAAGAUAUUAAUUUUUUUCAGUCUUUAAUAACUAUUGCAGCACUUUAACUAUGAGAGAGGAAAAGGGUUGUUGAGUUUGUGAGAAAUUACAACUCUUCAACGCUUGAGUUGGAGUUCAAAAAACUUCAUAAGGGUUUUGCUCACUAGCAUAAAUGCUCUUCUUUUUUUUUUGGUCUGUAUAGAGUUUCUUAGGAACUGCUUUUUUCUUUGUUGCUUGCCUUUUGUUCUUCUCUAUAUAAACUGUAACCCACCAUGGGAGAGGGAAAAAAAUAUUGUGUGUGUGUGUGUGUUUUUUUUUUUUUUUAAUUUCUAGUUAUGUAUGUGUUUGGAAACAAAAUAUUUCUUUUCUAUUCCUGUAGCAACUGAUUCUAAGUUCAAUAUCUAGUUGUAAUUAUUUUUCCAGAUUUAGGAAAAAAGUUCAUACUGGCGGUCUUCUUACAAUGAUUGCAGCUUUGUCUUUGUAUAUAUCCUUUUAUAGAUAAGAAGAAAAUGGAAAUAAAUAAAGAGAAAAUAUGACCAACUUUACCAUGCCAAUGAGAAGAAGUGGAGAUGACUCCCUCAGAUUCAACUGUGUUAGUUUAAUCAGUCAAUAGCUUCUUAACGAUUUAAAAAAUUCAAAUUUUGCAAUUAUAUUAUUGCCCUUAACAACCAAACAGUUCUUUAACGCUAAUACACGACCAGGGGUGCUAUGUGUCAAUAUAUGCAUACAUUCUCUCCAAGUGUAGUAAGGGUAAACCUCAUGGGAGGUAUCUAAAAAUUAUCCUUUUUGAAUUUUUUUUAAAAAAAAGUGAACCGAACUUUCCCCGUUCACGCAUGUGUUUUGUUAUUGGUUUUCCCACUAACAUCUUGUUUUAAUUUAGACAACCCAUAUUUAUUACAACUUAUCAACUUGUAAUUUUGCAUGUUGAAAAUGUGCACUAUCAAUUAAUUAAGAAAUUAACGUAAGAGCUCUUGGGUUCGAUCCCCACUAUACAACUAUUUGGGAGGGGUAAGGAGUCUUAACUGUGAUUAUACCCCGAAUCCGCGUUAGUCGGGACUCAAUGCGGUCACAAGAAAUUGGAUGGUUUAAAACCAAAAAAAGAAAACAAAUUAACGUAUAGAAUGUGAUUCAUUGUUUAUUGUUAAAUUUUUAAAAAAAUUAAGGUCCUUGAAAUUGUUUUGGACUCUAGAAGAUAGAAUUACACUAGAUUAACUUUUAAGAUUAGAUUGAAUUAGAUUAUACUAGCUAAAUUAUAUAUUACUAUCCUUUAUUUGGUAUAAUGUCGGAUAAACUGUUUAAUGAAACAAAAACAAAUAAUAAAUAGUAUAAUUAUUUUCAAAUUAUAUUUCUAAUUUUUUAAUAUAAUAUGUAUAUUAAAUAUUAUUGUAAAUAAUAAUUAAAUAAUUUUUAUGUUUAAAUUAUUGAAUUAAAAUUUUGAUACCUAAUUUCAAGUUAAAAUAAAAAAUUAUUAAAAAACUAUUGAUAAAGGUAGUAAAUUUGAAUUAAAAAAUAUAUUUAAUCCAACCUAAACUCAUGUGAAAGUGGGGAUCAAUAAUCUCAUGAAUUUGAGACUAAAAUUUGAACUAAUUUACUAGUCUUGACAACCAAACAUAACCUUGGAUUAGAUUAUUUUUUUUAUCCUCCAAAUUACAGUCUAAAUGCUAUCUUCUAUCCUACUUCCAAACAUAGUCUUCAAGUCUUAGAAACACACGGGUAAAUUGUAAGAUAAAGCAUUUUGUCAUGGAUUUUCAUUGCUUGACAAACUUUUUGGGAGAACAAUAAUGCUGCAGAUUGUCUUGCUAAUCUACAUCUUAAUGAGUUUUUUUUUUUUUGGGGAAUAAUCCUCACUUAGGGAUUCAACAAUUCUUGUCUUAAGAUGCUAAUCACUUUUGAAAUAUUGUUUCUUUUGAUAUGCUUUUAUUUUUAAUUUCUUUUUUACCUAUAGUUUCUCACGAUGUUGUUUCAGUGCUAUGGCUUAUCUUAAGAUUGAAGCACAUUAUGUCCCCCUAAAUGGAUGUUCUGAUUACUCUUUCUUAUUUAAUAAAAUCCUUCAGUAUGUCGAGGUUCAUCAAAAGAAAAUUAAGAAGCUAACAUAGCCCCAAGUCUUCGCCAAGUGUUUUUUUUUUUAAAUUAUAUGAGAUUAUUGUUUAAGAGUACAACUCAUAUUAAAUGAGAUUACAAUUGAUAUUUACAAAUCAAAUUGUUACUAGGACUAAUUUACAUCUUAUGAAGCACCGCCCAAAUUUUUACCCUCUCUAUUAUUCAAGGGAUGUAUACUCCACUUACAUUUCGAAAAGGAGAAAACUGCCUUCAGUCAAAUCGAAGAAGGAAAUUAAACCCCCAGAAUGCAUUGUGGGGGCUCGAACCCAUGACCUUACAAUUGUGAGGUUUGGGUUCUAACUGGCUCGUUCGCCGAGUGAUUUUUAAGUAGCUUGAUUAAGCUUAUUUGAAUUUCCAAUGCCUAGUCAAGUGGUUUUCAAGCACUUUAUUUUAGUUCACCACCCAAAUUUGAAUCUUCUCUACCCCCAGAAUGCAUUGUGGGGGCUCAAACCCAUGACCUUACAAUUGUGAGGUUUGGGUUCUAACUGGCUCGUUCGCCGAGUGAUUUUUAAGUAGCUUGAUUAAGCUUAUUUGAAUUUCCAAUGCCUAGUCAAGUGGUUUUCAAGCACUUUAUUUUAGUUCACCACCCAAAUUUGAAUCUUCUCUACUAGGGAUGGCAAUGGGCACCGCCCGCAGCGGGUUUUAACAAUUACCAAACCCGCAAUGGUAUCCGGCGGAUUUUUUGCGGGUUUCCGUAUUUAAAAUCACAAAUGUUUAAUAUAUAAAUUUAUAAUAAUAACCUUAAAUUCCAUAUAACAUACUCAAUUUUAUAUUUAAAUAAUGUAAAUGAAAAAUUAAAAUUUCCACAUCAAUUCAACACAAAUUCUCAAAUUUAAGUAUAAAUUACACAAAUCCAUUUAAAAAACACAAACUAGUAUCUAAAAAUAAUAAUUACAUUUCAUAUUAUCAUUUAAAACAAGCUCCAAGAGAAGAUAUUCAUUUCAUUCACCACCAUAAGCACCCAUCCAACACAAUGCCUAUAAUAAUAAUUAAGAUUAAUAUUUUCAAAUACUAAUUCGAAGGAAAAUGCCUUUAGUUUUCUUUAGAUUAUGACUUUAGAAUAGGAUAUAGGUCACAUACACACAUACACAACUUUGAGCCUUUGACUAUUUGGUAAUUUAAUUAAUGACAUUAUUUUCUUUAUACAUUUUUAGAUUAAAAUUAAAUUAAAAAUAUUUGAAAAAAUAUUGCGGGUUUGGUGGAUAUCCAUGCGGGUAUCCACCGGAUAUAAGGUUAAUACCAAACCCACCCGCAUCCAUAUGCGGGUUUUAAUUUAUAAUACUAAACCCGCCCGCAACGGGUAAAAUUACCCGCAACGGGCGGGUUUUGGCGGGUGGGUUUGGACGGAUUUGCGGGUUUGCGGGUACAAUUGCCAUCCCUAUUCUCUACCUUUAAAAAUCAUUAAAAAAAUAAGAAUUUUAAAUUGAAAAAAUGCCUAUAAAUAUCUUGGCUGCUCGCUGCUUUACAGUCCCCAGCACGUUAACCAAAUGGCUCUCUCUUCCAAAUUUCUUCUUUUUUGCUUUCUUCUCCUUUUCAUCUCUCCUUCCAUAGCCAAAACGUCUUUUAGACCAAAAGCACUAGUCCUUCCGGUUACCAAAGAUGGAUCAACUCUCCAAUACCUCACUCAAAUCAAACAAAGAACCCCUCUCGUGCCUGUGAAAUUGACCCUUGAUCUUGGUGGUCAGUUUCUAUGGGUUGAUUGUGAAAAAGAAUAUGUAUCAUCUUCCUAUACAUUUGCCCCUUGCCAUUCAGCUCCAUGCUCUCUCGCUAAUGCACCUUAUUGUUUUGAAUGCCAUGGUAUUAAACCCAGGCCAGGUUGCCACAAUAAUACUUGCAAUCUCCUGCCUGAAAACACCAUAAACGGCAUUAGCUUUUUCGGUGGGGUGUCCAUGGAUGUCGCGUCCAUCCAAUCCACUGAUGGCAAGAAUCCGGGUAAAGUCGUUUCAGUGCCUAAGCUUCUCUUUGUCUGUUCUGACUCAUUUCUUUUAACAGAUCUUGCAAAGGGUGUUACGGGUAUGGCUGGCCUUGGAAGAACUAAAAUUUCACUUCCAUCCCUGUUCUCUUCUGCUUUUAGCUUUAAGAGAAAAUUUGCCAUUUGCUUGAGUUCCUCUACCGAAGCUAACGGCGCUGUCUUCUUUGGUGACGGCCCUUAUGUUAUGCUUCCUGGUGUUGAUGUUUCAAAGUCUCUCACUUACACCCCACUUAUCCUCAAUCCUGUGACUACAGCAACUCGUACUUUUACAGACCUUCCUUCAUCUGAUUACUUCAUUGAAGUAAAGUCUAUUAAAAUCAAUGGACACGUCAUCCCUAUGAACACAUCUUUGCUAUCAAUUGACAAAAAGGGUUUCGGUGGAACCAAAAUCAGCACUAUCCGUCCUUACACGGUGUUGGAAUCAUCAAUCUACGAAGCUUUUAUUGAAGCUUUCACCAAAGAGUUAGCGAAAGUCCCUAGAGUUAAACCAGUUUCACCAUUUGGGGCAUGCUUUAAUUCUACCCACAUUGGCAGAACUCGUGCUGGACCAGCUGUGCCUCAGAUUGAUCUAGUCUUGCAAAGUAGCAAAGCAGUUUGGAGUAUUUUUGGGGCAAACUCAAUGGUGCAAGUUAAAAGGGAUGUUCUUUGCCUAGGUUUUGUGGACGGUGGAGUACACCCUAGGACUUCAAUUGUGAUAGGUGGGCAUCAACUGGAAGAUAAUCUUCUGCAGUUUGAUCUAGGCACAGCAAGGCUAGGGUUCAGCUCUUCUCUCCUGUUCCGCCAAACAACUUGCUCCAAUUUCAAUUUUACGUUUAAUGCUUAGAGAAUCUUUAAUCUUCAUUUCAGUUGUUUGUUCUCAUUUCGUGUUUAGAUAAAUAAAUUUUCAUGUGGCCUUUCAUGAAUACCCCACUUUGAGUUUGGCCUUUUGGAGAUUAUAUUAAUGAUUUAAUGUCACUGGGCUUUUCAUGAACCCACUUGAAUAUUGCGUUUCGGAUGGAGAAAUUUUUUUUUUUUUUUUAGAAUAAAAGCUUAGCUUUCAUUAAAUCAACUUUGAAAAAGGUACAAAAGAUGUGUAUGACAUUCGAUGAACCCCAUUAUUGGUUCCACACUUUCUAAAGCUACUUUGGCAAUCGAAUGGGCCGUGCCAUUAUGAAGCCGAGAGGCGCGCUGCAGUGUGAGGUUCUGUAGUUCCUUUAGCUUUUCCUGGAUGUCCAAAAUGGUCCAACAGAUCUCAGUAUUACUGCUUUUUCUUCCUAAAGCCAGAUCCACAGCUUCUCAGCAAUCACAUUCAAUUAUCAAAGGCACACAAUUGGCAGCUUCUGCAGUUUCUAUUCCCAGCUUAAUUGCUUCUGUUUCUGCGGCAGUUGCAUCUCCGAAGUAUCUGACUUGCUUCUGAGCUACUGCUACAAAGUUUCCUUCCAAGCUUCUGAUCACCACUCCUAAGCCUGCCACUUGCUCUUUUAACUUUGUUGCUGCAUCCACAUUAACCUUGAACCACACCGUUGGAGGAGGUUUCCAGUUCUGGUUUUCUCUGCAAGUCUGCCUUGUAUAGGAGGGCAGUGAUGGGAAUUUAAUUUUCCUAUAUGAUUCCACUAUUGCUUCUGCUUUGGCCAGUGAUACUUGAGAUCUUCAUUCUUUCCCUCAAAGACAAAAAGAUUCCUUAAGUGCCAGGUAGCCCAACAUAAAGCUGUGAAGAGCUCCAUUUCUGCUUUGCUUUUCUUCUCUGCUACAGUUUGAAACACGCUCAACAGAUCUUUGUUAGCAAAAGCUUGGGUUUCUUCUGCAAAUGCUGUGAUCCUCCAAGUUUUCUGAAAUGCUUUACAAUUUAAGAGGGCAUGAGAAACAUUUUCACCUUGUUUGCCAUACCAUUGACACCACAGCUAUUGCACAAUUUUCCUUUUCCACAGGUUUUCUGCUGUUGAAAGCAGAUUUCGUACUGCCCUCCACAUGAAUAUUUGAACUUUCUCUGAUAAAUACAAUUUCCAGAUUCUAUGCCACUUGGAUGAACUUGUUUUUGAUGAGUCUGGACAGUCAUGGAAUUUUAGUCUCAGAGCAACUUGGUAGCCACUCUUUACUAAGUAAUUUCCAUGUUUGUCAUAAAGCCCAUAUAGAUUGGUCUGGUCUUGGAGUUCUUGGCAAUAUAAUCUUCAAGAUGCAAUCUGCAUCCUUAAGUAUGAAGUGUUGUCUGAUUAAUGCUUCAUUCCACUUGUGCUCUGCAUUAAUUAAGAGGGGAAUUGUAGCCUCCAGUGGCAGGGUUGGAGCUGACACUAUCUUGAAAGUUGAAGGUCUAGGAAUCCAGUUACAAUUAUAAAUCUUGACUUGCUCUCCACUCUCUAUUCUCCAUCUUAGACCUUGAUGCAGCACUUGUCUACUCCAAAGAAUACUCCUCCAAAUAAAAGAUGGUUUAUGCCCCAAUUUUGCAUUUAAAAAGUCUGUCUUCUUAAAGUACAAAGCCUUUAAGACUUUUGCCAUAAGGGAGUCUGGAAAUUGGAUCAACCUUCAUCCUUACUUAGCUACUAAAGUUUGAUUAAAGCUUAAUAGAUCUCUAAACCCCAUGCCCCCUUUUCUUUUGGAAGUACUCAUUUUCUCCCACUUGGCCCAAUGUAUGCUUCUAUGAUCUUCCUUUGAGUUCUACCAAAACCAAGCUAUUGCUCUUUGAAUAUCUGCACAAAAACUUAAUAGAAUUCUGAAAACACUCAUGGCAUAGGCAGGGAUUGCUUGGGUGAUUGCUUUGAUUAAAACUUCUUUCCCUCUGCUGGAGAAAAGCUUGCUUUCCCAAUUUGAUAUUGAUUAGUAUUAAAAAUUGUUUAAUUAUCAAGCGAUAAUAAUAUCAUUUUGUGCCUAUGUUAUAAUUUAUAUUUGUGUUUAUGCAAUAUAUUAGGAAUUAUUAAUAAUGUUUUAAAUAUAUCUAAUUUUGUGUAUUUUUGUAUGUUUAUUAUGUAAAAUAUUAAUUUCACAUAAUUCGAGUCUUCAAACAGAUAAAUAGAGGUUAAAUUUGGAUUCCGAAGGUCUGAAAACCUUAAGAUCAGUCAAGAUCGACUUAAAAUUAGGCUUGUGUAAAAAAAAGUUGACUUUUUCUGUUGAUCGAGCACUGAUUGGAUGAUGAAAUGAGCUUACAAUAGAUAUGAGUGCAUGAGAUAGUUGGCAAUUUUCACUAAAUAUCAACCGUUCAUGAUUCAAUAGUCAUAAUUGUGCCACGUGGCAAUGGUUGGUGAAGCAAGUUGUAGGAUCCAAAUCUUUGUAUUCGGGUCGAACUGAUCCACCCAUUAACCCGCCAAAUCUCAAUCGUUCUUUGGCCAAAUCAGACAAGUCAAAUGAUGCCACGUGUGAUGUUGACUUUUGAAGUUUGACCAGCCGUUGGAUCUUGAUCUAAUGGUUGUGAGGAGUACAUGCAUGAAGCUUAUGAUGGACCGCAAAACACUGGAUUACGAAUUUAUUUUUCUAUAAAUAGAGCCUCAUUUUUAUGUUUUUAAUCAUCUCUCUACAUCUUUCUUCUUCUCAAAUUCUCGGAUCUCUCCAUCUCCCUAUAAUCUUGAUUUCCAAGUAUGUUUUUAAUAUUUUGUAUAAUUAUUUUAUUAAUAAAUUUAUUUUUAUUUUUAUAUUUUAUAUUUUAAAAUUUUGAUUUAUUGUAAACAAACAAAUGAAUUUGGCACAAUAAAUACUUAAUCCAUCAUAAAAUUAAAGGAAAAAUAAUAAUAAUGUAUAUAAUUAAUCUUUUGGGCAAUAAUAAUGGCAAGCCCAAAUAUUUCUCAUGCCUAGACACAACACUGAGCUGGAAUUUGUUCUUUAUAUCCUCAAUCUGCCUUACUUGAGUGUUUCUACUAAAGAACAUUGACAAUUUUUCAUAAUUGAAAUUUGGCCCGAGACAGCUACAUAUUUGUCAAAAAUGAGCUUCAUAUUUAUGCAGUCUUCAGUUGUGGCCCUUGUAAAGAUAAGAUUGUCAUCUGCGAAGAGCAAGUGAGUGAUUGCCAAGUUGUUGCUGAAUUUCAGUCCCUGGAUCAGCUUCUGAGUUUCUGCUUGUUGUAGCAAGUUUGAAAAGCUUUAUGCACAAAGAAUAAAGCAAUAUAAGGAUAAGAGGCAGCCCUGCCUCAAUCCUCUUUGUGAAAGAAUCAUUCCUUUGGCUACUCCAUUUAUCAAUAUUGAGAAUGACGAAGGUGUAAUACAUCUUAUAGUCAAUUCAAUUCAUUUGGGUGAAAAUCUUAGUCUCUUUAUAGUAUUUUCCAAGAAGCACCAUUCAAUUCUAUCAUAUGCCUUACUUAUGUCGAGUUUUAAGGCUACUAACCUAUUUUUCCUCCCUCUGUUAAGCCUUAUCUUGUGCAAACAUUUAUAUCCUAUGACAACAUUAUCCGUUAUGAGUCUGUUUGGUAUGAAGGCACUUUGUGUUGCUGAGAUGAUGACAUGCAGCAUAUAUUUAAGCUAUUAGCUAUGGUUUUUGUGAUUAUUCUAUAUAUUACAUUACAUAAGCUAAUAGGCUUAAACUCUGUUACAUUUCUAGGCUUCUCAACCUUGGGCAUCAGUGCAGUGUAAGUAUGAUUGAGAGACGCUAUGUUACCACCUUCAUUGAGAAUAUAAAGACAAGUUGCCAGCACUCUUUUGCUUAUUGAUUUCCAAUGUUUUUUAAAAAAGGCUACUAGAAAUCCAUCUGGUCUGGGAGCUUGGUUGGGUACAUUUGGGAUAGAACUACUGAUAUCUCCUCGGCAGUCAAAGGUCUGUCCAGUUCCUCGUUCAUCUCCUCUUUGACCUUCCUAGGCAUAUUUUGCAAAACAACUUCCAAUUGGGCUUGUAAAGGGUUUGUUAUAGUGAAUAAAUUUGUAUAGUAGUUGCAAAACAUUCUUUUUACAUCUUCUUCUUCUUCUGUCCAAUUUCUAUUUUCAUCAAUUAUUCCCCAAAUUCUAUUUUUCCUCUUUCUCCAUGAAGUUUUAGCAUGGAAAAACUUCGUAUUUUUAUCUCUUACUCGUAGCUAAUCUGCUCUUAAUCUCUACUUCCAAUAGAUUUCUUCAUUUAGCAGAAAAGCAUCAAUCUUCUUUUCUAAGCUCUUGAUUCUUUUCUCUUCUUCAUAGUGUUGGUUCUGUUACUUUGCCCAUUUCAACUCAUUAAUCAUCUUCUUUAACUUCUGACUUCUGUCCCUUAACUCCUCUUUGUUCCACCACUGUAGGUGAGUCAUUGUUGCCUUUGUUGCUCUUUUGAAGCUUUCAACUGCAUCUUCACUAUACCAUCUUCUUUGCUCUACCCACUCUUGUUCCACAAUCUCUCUACAUUUAUCAUAGGAGCUCUAAAAAUCCUCAUAAUGCACUGAAGGAAAAGUUCUUCUAUUAUAUCUUAAGCCCCUCCCUUUUGCCAUCACUUCCAUCAAAAUGGGGUUAUGGUCCGAUGUCCAUGUCUCUACUGUUUCAGCUGCCGAUUCUAAGAACACGUUUCUUCAUUCUUGAUUACACAAAAAGCAAUCUAAUCUCUCCACAAUCAAAUGUGGCUCGUAUCUUUUAUUGCUCGUAUCUUUUAUUUGACCACAUUAAGGGACGCCCUUUACAACCUAAAUCCACCAGGCUACAAUUUCUAACAGCGUCCCUGAACAUCUGCAUCACGCUAGCUUCUCUAUUGUUCCCUCCUAUUUUUUCAUGACGCCAUAGUAUUUCAUUGAAAUCUCCAAAGCAUAGCCAAAACAAAGAGGAUAAAUUGGCUAACCUUUUUAAGAAUGCCCAUGUGUGGUGCUUCUGGCACGUCUCUAGGUGUCUAUAGACCUCUGUACAUCUCCAAUAACUUCUAUUUUUAGCACAAACUAUUGCAUCAAUAUGGUGCUUGCUCCAUGAUUUGACCUCCACAGUUAAUUCUAACUUCUACAUCAUUGUUAAACCUCAUUUUUUCCAUGUUCAAUUUUCAAAAUUUAGCUUCUGACAUUUCUCUUCCAUUUGCUUACACUACAAGAAAACUGCUAACAAAUGACAGACAACUUAUGACAGAUUCUGGGUAUAUCAUAAAACUAUGAUAGACUUGUGACAUAAUUUUCAAUUUAUCAUAAAUUAAUGAUGGUUUUGUGAUAGAAAUAUUUUCUAUCAUAAAUUUAUGAUGGCUUUAUGAUAUGAUUAUCAUUUAUCACGAACUUAUGAUAGAAUCGUGAUAGAAAUUUAAUCUAUCAAGAAAUUAUGAUAGAAAAAUUACUUUGACCAUAUUUGACCCAAAUUUUAUACAUUAUUUUAUUUAAAAAACAAAAGGUGUGUUUUAAUAAUUAAAAAAAAAUGCUAGCCAAACCGUACCGUUUUGGGUACUUUAAACUUUCUUUCUUCUUUUUUUGUCCUAAGUGUUAAAUGAAUACACACUUAGAAAAUAAAAUUCUACUUCUCUUAUCACACUCUCAUUUUCUUCAUUUUUUUUCUUUUCUUUCAUUUUCUCAAGAAACCUUAACGAAAUUUUCUCAGGAACCAAACAAUUUACAAAUCCUUCGAUUCUGAAGGAAAAUGCAAUACAAGAGGUUGAAGCAGCAUCAACAGUAGUAGCAAGCACUGGUGUAGCAAGCGCUUCUUCAAUAGCGGCCUCUUAGCCACUCCUCAGCUCUAAUUUCUCGUUUGCAUUUUGUUUCUCGUCGCUUAUGUGAAUCCAUUAUGCCUUGAUUUCGAUUGUGUUUUCAUAAUUUCAAGCUUUGAUUUGUUCGCGCUAUUUAGGGUUAGCUUGUGUGAUUUCGAUGUUCUUGUUUGUUUUGGUUUUUAAUUUUCAAGCUUUGCUAGAGUUAGGUUUUGAUUAUUCUUGUUUUGUAAAAAUUGUUCAAAUUUUUGGGUGUUUGUUCAAAUUUUCAAGCUUUGUUCAAUUUAUUUUACUUUCCAGAUGCGUAUUUUCGAUCUCUUCAGUCAGCUCGCUGCCGCUUCUUAAUUAUGUCGACAAUCCAUCACCAAAGGUUCACCUUUGCCGUAUAAAUCUAGGCUACAGCCUCUUGACUCCAUUGAUGAAUCCUUCACUAGAGCUUUAUCAGUGAAGCAUUUACCUAAGCAUCUGAAUAUUGUGUCAUUGAACGACACUUAUGAGGAUGAUAGCGUUGUGCACAUUGUGAUGAAGCUAUGUGAGGAAGGAGAGUUGGUUGAUAGGAUUGUCGCCAAAGGGCAUUACACUGAGCGAGUUGCUGCUGCAGUUAUGAAGACCAUUGUUGAAGUUGUUCAAGUUGGUUUCUGGUCUUUUAUGUGUUUUGUGUUUGGCAUUGCUGCGGAAUUUGAUGUUUAUGGCCUUAAAUUGAAUUGGCAGUGCAUGGCAUUCAAUUUAUUUUUACCAGUUUGUAGUUAAAUUGGUUAAGGUAUGAAAUUUAUAGGUAGUGACUCAGGCUUUAUACAAAUGUUAAAAUCAAAACUUGUUUGGAGUUGGGACGUUUUCCUUUUUCUCCCCAUAAGCUUCUACUUUUUUUUAUUCUUUCCUCAUAAAUGCUAUGUUUGAGUGUUUUUAUUUGGAGAGAUGGAUGAUAUUCUGUCUAAAAUUUUAAAUUUAAGUUCCCUUAUCAAAUGGACAUCGGGAAGGUUUCACUUAGUUUAUUCCAUUUUUUUUUCUCUCUUUCUUUAUCUGGUAUUAAGCUUGCCAAUAUAUUUUUUUUUUUUGCGCUGUUUAAUUGAUUCUUAUUUCAUUCAGUCUCAGAUGUUAGUGACUUAAAAUUUCUUAUGAUCUAUAUGGAUGCACAGGAAUUUGUUUGUUUAUUCUGAAAUCGGUUACUUCUUAGGGCUUAAAUGUUUUAUCUCUGUGCAUCUUACCAUGUACUGAGCCACUUAUGACAAUUCUUUCUCUCAUCGAUUCUUUGUACAUGUAUUUUUUGAUCAACUUGUAGACUCUGUUUCUCGUGUUAAUUCUAUGAUUUUCAGAAGUUAUGCUCUAUGUUUUUAGUGACCUCAUUCUUCUAACCUGCAUUUCCUUGUAUGAUUUUUCCACUGCAGGUGUGUCAUAAGCAUGGAGUCAUGCAUCGUGAUCUCAACCCAAAAAAAAUUCUAUUUGUUAAUAAGAAGAAAAGUUUUUCCUUAAAGGCAAUUGAUUUUGGGUUGUCGGUCUUCUUUAGGCCUAGUAAUGUGCUAUAUAAUUAGCAAUUGCAUGCCCCUGCCUGCUAUUUAUUCUUUUCACCUUCAUUCCUUUAUCUUAUACUGUUCUUACCUGAAGGUUUCUCUUUUCUACAGGGGAGCAAUUCAACGAGAUAGUUGGAAGUCUAUAUUACAUGGCGCUAGAGGUUUUAAAGCGUAAUUAUGGACCAGAAGUUGAUGUCUGGAGUAUGCUUUAACUCCGGAGAAUUUGGAAUUGGAUCAACAUCUGUGCCUCAAAUCGAUCUCGUUUUGCAGAGCAACGCAAGGUGUUGUGGAGCAUCCUUGGAGCAAAUUCGAUAGUCCAGGUUGGCAAUGAUGAUAAUGUGUCGUGUCUGGGGUUUGUUGACGGAGGGGCACCAAGGACUUCAAUUGUUAUCGGAGGGUAUCAAUUGGAAAACAACCUUCUGCAGUUUGAUUUAGCUUCUUCAAGACUUGGUUUCAGCAAUUCGCUGUUGCUCCGGCGAACAUUUUGUUCCAACUUCAAAUUCACGUCCAUUUGAUUCACUAGGAUGAAUUCGGCUAAGUUUAUCAAUAGUACAAUUUGAAUAAUGGACUCAUGGUCCGUGGUUAGUUUUCAUGAUUAAUUUUAACAGUUAACGUGCUAUAUGUGAACUGAGCUUUCUUUUUAUUUCUACGAGGCCACGUGCUAUAGUGAUAUAAAAUGAAGACUGAAGAGAAUGAUAAAAUCGACGUCCAGGCUUAUCAGCUAGAGAUCCAUUAUCAACUUGAAUAAUUUUGAUAAUUCCUAAAAGAGAAUGAUAAAAUCGACGUUCAGGCUUGUCAUCUAGAGAUCUGUGAUCAACCUGAAAUAUUUUUGUAAUUCCUUAAAAUAUUGUAUUAUUUUGAAAUGAAGGUAUGAAGUGUUGAUUGUUAUAAUAUUAGUUCGCAGAACAAUGUAUAGUUAUAAAAAUAAAUAAUCGAAGAUCUUAGACACAAAUUAACCCACAAGACACUGUAAUAAAAUAAAACAAAACAAAGAUGUGAACAGAACUAGCGUUUGGAUGGCUAGCUAUUGAGUUGGCUUUCAAGUCGUUCCUCAACAAGGCUCGAGCCGCCAUGGAUAAAUCCGAUCCUGCUCGCGAUCCGGACGACAUUGUUGACCAAAACAACGACGAUGGCGCCGAUGGCAAUGACAAAGACAAAGACAAACCAUCCGAUGCUUAAAUGGUCAAAUUUAUUAGAUUAUUAGUAUCCAAACGAUGUGCUUCCUAUUUGAAUUACUCUCUAUUCAGCUUUAGCAGUUGUGUUCCUACAUCCCAUUCCCGUACUGAAGCUAUAUACUCUCCAUUUUAAAUGUUAAUUUUCUUGUGAUUAUGAUUAAUCAGUCGUUUUUGAAAUUUUUUUUUUUUUUAAGUGAACAGAACUUUCCCCGUUCACGCAUGUGUUUUGUUAUUGGUUUUCCCACUAGCAUCUUGUUUUAAUUUAGACAACCCAAAUUUAUUACAACUUGUCAACUUGUAAUUUUGUAUGUUGAAAAUGUUCACUAUCAAUCAACUAAGAAAUUAACGUAUAGAAUGUGAUUCAUUUUUUAUUAUUGUUUAUUGUUAAAUUUUUUUUUUAAUUAAGGUCCUUGAAAUUGUUUUGGGUUCUCAAAGAUAGAAUUACACUAGAUUAACUUUUAAGAUUGGAUUGAAUUAGAUUAUACUAACUAAAUUAUAUAUUACUAUCCUUUAUUUGGUAUAAUGUCGGAUAAAUUAUUUAAUGAAACAAAAAAAAUAAAUAGUAUAAUUAUUUUCAAAUUAUAUUUCUAUUUUUUAAUAUUAUAUUUAUAUUCAAUAUUAUUGUAAAUGAUAAUUAUAUAAUUUUUUAUGUUUAAAUUAUUGAAUUAAAAUUUUGAUAUCUAAUCUUCAAUUAAAUUCGAGUUAAAAUAAAUUUUAUUCAAAAAAUAUUGAUAUAGGUAGUAAAUUUGAAUUAAAAUAUAUAUUUAAUCUAACCUAAACACAUGUGAAAGUGGAGAUCAAUAAUCUCAUGAAUUUAAGACUAAAAUUUGGACUAAUUUACUAGUCUUGACAACCAAGCAUAACCUUGGAUUAGAUUAAUUGUUUUAUCCUCCAAAUUACAGUCUAAAUGCUAUCUUCUAUUCUACAUCCAAACAUAGUCUUCAAGUCUUAGAAACAUAUGGGUAAAUUGUAAGAUAAAGCAUUUUAUCAUGGAUUUUCAUUGCUUCACAAUUUUUUUGGGAGAACAAUAAUGCUGCAGAUUGUCUUGCUAAUCUACAUCUUAAUCAUGAUGAGUUUUUUUUUUUUUUUUUUGGGGGGGGGGGANNNNNNNNNNNNNNNNNNNNNNNNNNNNNNNNNNNNNNNNNNNNNNNNNNNNNNNNNNNNNNNNNNNNNNNNNNNNNNNNNNNNNNNNNNNNNNNNNNNNNNNNNNNNNNNNNNNNNNNNNNNNNNNNNNNNNNNNNNNNNNNNNNNNNNNNNNNNNNNNNNNNNNNNNNNNNNNNNNNNNNNNNNNNNNNNNNNNNNNNNNNNNNNNNNNNNNNNNNNNNNNNNNNNNNNNNNNNNNNNNNNNNNNNNNNNNNNNNNNNNNNNNNNNNNNNNNNNNNNNNNNNNNNNNNNNNNNNNNNNNNNNNNNNNNNNNNNNNNNNNNNNNNNNNNNNNNNNNNNNNNNNNNNNNNNNNNNNNNNNNNNNNNNNNNNNNNNNNNNNNNNNNNNNNNNNNNNNNNNNNNNNNNNNNNNNNNNNNNNNNNNNNNNNNNNNNNNNNNNNNNNNNNNNNNNNNNNNNNNNNNNNNNNNNNNNNNNNNNNNNNNNNNNNNNNNNNNNNNNNNNNNNNNNNNUUUUUUUUUUUUUUUUUGGGGGGGGGGGAAUAAUCCUCACUUAGAGAUUCAACAAUUCUUGUCUUAAGAUGCUAAUCACUUUCUGAAAUAUUGUUUCUUUUUAUAUGCUUUUAUUUUGAAUUUCUUUUUUUCCUAUAGUUUUUCACGAUGUUGUUUUCAGUGCUAUGGCUUAUCUUAAGAUUGAGGCGCAUUAUGUCCCCCUAAAUGGAUGUGCCGAUUACUCUUUCUUAUUUAAUAAAAUCCCUCAUUAUGUCAAGGCUCAUCAAAAGAAAAUUAAGAAGCUAACACAGCCCCAAGUGUUCGCCAAGCGUUUUUUUUUUCAAUUACAUGAAACUAUAUUACAACUCAUAUUACAUGAUAUUACAACUGAUAUUUACAAAUCAGACUAUUAUUGAGAUUCUUUUACAUCAAUUAUUAUGAAGUGGUGUUCAAAUUUUUACCUUACGUCUACUUCACUCACAUUUCGAAAUGGAUAAAAUUACUUUCACUCAAAUUGAGAAAGAAAUUAAACCCCCACAAUGCAUUGUGAGGUUCGAAUUCAUGACCUCACAAUUGUGAGGUUUGGGUUCUAACCACUAGAUUAAAGCCUAACGGAUCGUUUGCCAAAUGAUUUUUAAGUAGCUUGAUUAAGUUUAUUUGAAUUUCCAAUGCCUAAUUAGGUGGUUUUCAAACACUUUAUUUUAGUUUACCAACCAAAUUUGAAUCCUCUCUACGUUUAAAAUCAUUUAAAAAAAAAUAAGAAUUUUAAAUUGAAAAAAUGCCUAUAAAUAUCUUGGCUGCUCGCUGCUUUACAGUCCACAGCACGUUAACCAAAUGGCUCUCUCUUCCAAAUUUCUUCUUUUUUGCUUUCUUCUCAUUUUCAUCUCUCGUUCCAUAGCCAAAACGUCUUUUAGACCAAAAGCACUAGUUCUUCCGGUUACCAAAGAUGGAUCAACUCUCCAAUACCUCACUCAAAUCAAACAAAGAACCCCUCUCGUGCCUGUGAAAUUGACCCUUGAUCUUGGUGGUCAGUUUCUAUGGGUUGUUUGUGAAAAAGAAUACGUAUCAUCUUCCUAUAGAUUUGCUCCUUGCCAUUCAGCUCCAUGCUCUCUCGCUAAUGCACCUUAUUGUUUUGAGUGCUUUGGUACUAAACCCAGGCCAGGGUGACACAAUAAUACUUGCAAUCUCCUGCCUGAAAACACUAUAAACGGCAUUAGCUUUAACGGUCCGGUGUCCAUGGAUGUCGCGUCUAUCCAAUCCACUGAUGGCAAGAAUCCGGGUAAAGUCGUUUCAGUGCCUAAGCUUCUCUUUGUCUGUGCUGACUCAUUUCAUUUAACAGAUCUUGCAAAGGGUGUUACGGGUAUGGCUGGCCUUGGAAGAACUAAAAUUUCACUUCCAUCCCUGUUCUCUUCUGCUUUUAGCUUUAAGAGAAAAUUUGCCAUUUGCUUGAGUUCCUCUACCAAAGCCCACGGCGCUGUCUUCUUUGGUGACGGCCCUUAUGUUAUGCUUCCUGGUGUUGAUGUUUCCAAGUCUCUCACUUACACCCCACUUAUCCUCAAUCCUGUGACAACAGCAGCUCUUACUUUUACAGACCUUCCUUCAUCUGAUUACUUCAUUGAAGUAAGGUCUAUUAAAAUCAAUGGACACGUCAUCCCUAUGAACACAUCUUUGCUAUCAAUUGACAAAAAGGGUUUCGGUGGAACCAAGAUCAGCACUGUCCAUCCUUACACGGUGUUGGAAUCAUCAAUCUACGAAGUUUUUAUUGAAGCUUUCACCAAAGGGUUAGCGAAAGUCCCUAGAGUUAAACCAGUUUCACCAUUUGGGGCAUGCUUUAAUUCUACCCACAUUGGCAGCACUCGUGCUGGAGCAGCUGUGCCUCAGAUUGAUCUAGUCUUGCAAAGUAGCAAAGUGAUUUGGAGUAUUUUUGGCGCAAACUCAAUGGUGCAAGUCAAAGACGAUGUGCUUUGCCUAGGGUUUGUUGAUGGUGGAGUAAACCCUAGGACUUCAAUUGUGAUAGGUGGGCAUCAAUUGGAAGAUAAUCUUCUGCAGUUUGAUUUGGCCACAUCAAGGCUAGGCUUCAGCUCUUCUCUUCUCUUCCACCGAACAACUUGCUCCAAUUUCAAUUUUACGUCUAAUGCUUAGAGAAUCUUUAAUCUUCAUUUCAGUUGUUUGUGCUCAUUUUGUGUUUAGAAUAAUAAAUUUUCAUGUGGCUUUUCAUGAAUACCCCACUUUGAGUUUUGCGUUUUGGAGAUUAUAGGAAUGAUUUAAUGUCACUGGGCUUUUCAUGAACCCACUUGACUUGAGUAUUGCGUUAUGGAUGGAGAUUGUAUUAAAAAGGAAAAACAAGUCUGUGAUGCAUUUAUUUAUUUAUAAAAAGCCGACUUAUUCAUUCACGAAUUAGCACAUGCAGAAAUAUGCUAUAUAUACUAGUACUGAAUCCAGAGAUAUCGGAUGUUGUUUAGUUAGUUGCUGGAAGAAUGACAGUUCGUUUCCCUUAGAAAUUAUUUUUAUUAUUUACAUUUUCAAUAAAAUUUUUAAUUGUCAAUAAAGAAAUAAAACGAGUCAUGGAAAAUCUAUCAAGAGUUCGAAUCAAUAAUGAGGAUUCUCUUUUGGUUAAUAUCAUACGGCCCCUUGUCUUUUGUAUCAUUUCUAAUAUUUACAUUAUGAGUACAAACUAUCUUCAUAUAUAAUAGUUAAUUAUUUAAUAAAAAGAAAAAACUUGGGACCGGGCAAACCAUGGCCCAGUCUAUGUCAAAAUGGCAUAGGCUCGGCCCAUUAUAAAUUAGGCUUUGACCUUUCAGUUCUUGAGCCUCCUAAAGAAAUAAGGCUUGAACCCAACUGUCAAUCUGUCAUCCAUAGCAGAAACUCAAAUAUUUAAUUAAUAAUUUCAUUUUAUCGUAUAAAUAAUAAAAGUAUUCAAAAAAUUAAUUUCAAACAUUUCUAACUAUCAUUUUCCUUGAAAAUUAAAAAAAAAGUUAUAAAUAUACAAUCAAUCCAUUAUAGUUAAUAAAUUGGUUUAUUAUUGAAAGCGUUAGAAAAGUGGAUUCCAUAAAUUUAAGUUGACAAAAGUUUAACAAAUAAAAAUUUAAAUCAUUAGUGUAAAUAAAAAGGUUAGCUUAAGAGAACCCAGCUUGUUUUUUGUAUACUAAUAAGUAAUUUUAUGAUCCAUUCCAUUGAUGCAGCAUUAAAUGGGCCAGUUACUCCAACUCAUAUAUCAUUCAAUUUUAGAUUACAUUAUUGUUUAACAAAAACCAUUUUUUUAUGAGUAAUGAUACAGCCACAAACUCUUGUACAAACUUAUUUUGUACAAACUGACGUGGCAUUAAUUCAUUGGUUGAAUGAAAAUAUAAAUUAAUAAAAAAUGAAAAUAUAAUUAUUUUGUACAAACUGACGUGGCAUUAAUUCAUUGGUUGAAUGAAAAUAUAAAUUAAUAAAAAUAAAUCAUGUGGGCCAAGUGAUAUUUAAUUCAACCAAUCUUAUCAUGCCACAUCAGUUUGUACAAAAUAAGUUUGUACAAAAGUUUGUGGCUGUAUCAUUACUCUUUUUUUAUUUCAAUAACAUAAUCAGCCCCUGAAAAAAAAAAGCCAAAACGAAGCACGACAUGUAGUGGCCACAACAAUGCCCCACGCAGGAGGUAAUGUAAGCGGUGCAUAGAACAAAGACAGGUCCAACCUAAGUUGCCAAUCUAGAAGAAAUCUUCCAGCCACCUUGACCCAGCCGAAUACAACUUGCAUUAAGUGAAUAAUUGAUCAGAAAGGGGGGAAAUAAAAUAUUGGUGACAAAUUUAAGAGAUCCGAGCCCCAAAAUCCUAUAAAUAGGACAUAUCCCUAUACGAGCAAAACACAAAUAAUUAAGAAUAUAAACAUGUCGGUCGCACAGAGUUUCCUUCUUUUAUGCUCUCUUCUUAUUUUCUCGUUAUCUCCCAUCACAGCCCAAACAUCAUUGCGCCCCAAAGCCCUGGUUCUCCGAGUAGCAAAAGACACUGCCACUCUUCAAUAUGUGACCCAAAUCAAGCAACGAACCCCUCUUGUGCCUGUGAAAUUAACUGUCCAUCUUGGCGGCAACAUUCUCUGGGUUGAUUGCGAGAAAGGCUACGUGUCAUCUACCAAUAAAACAGCCCGCUGUGGCUCAGCUCAGUGCAAUCUUGCUAAUGCUAAAGCUUGUGGAGGUGGCAUUUGUGGCGCUGGCCCGGAUAACCCCAUCUCAAACACUGGGACACAUGGUGACAUACGCAUAGAUGUUUUGUCCAUCCAGUCUACCGACGGCCGUAAUCCUGGUAGAGCUGUUACGGUGCCUAAUUUUAUCUUCCUUUGUGGUUCAGAAUUUGUCUUACAAGGCCUUGCUAGUGGCGUUGUGGGUAUUGCUGGCCUUGGAAGGAGUAAAGUUGCGUUGCCUUCACAACUUGCUGCUGCUUUUAGCCUCAAAAGAAAAUUCGCACUUUGCUUGAGUCCUUUUGAUGAUGGUGCCAUCGUUUUUGGCGAUGGACCUUAUUAUGAUCUUAAUAAUUUCGAUGUCUCCAAGAAUCUUAAAUAUACCCCGCUUUUCAUCAACAAAGUAAACACGGCCUCAGGUUUCUUGGGUGAGCCUUCAGUUGAAUACUUCAUUGGUGUCACAUCCGUUCAUGUUAACGGAAAAGCUGUCCCAUUAAACAAAACAUUGCUAUCUAUUGAUAACGAAGGUGUUGGUGGAACAAAGAUCAGCACCGUCAAUCCUUACACAGUCCUGGAAACUUCAAUCUACAAGGCUCUUGUUCAAGCCUUUGCUAGUGCCAUGCCUAAAGUCGCCAGAGUGGCUCCUGUGGCACCAUUCGGGGCAUGUUUUAGACUGCAAGACAUUGGUUUCACCCGUAUAGGCCCAGUCGUGCCUCAAAUAGAUCUGGUUUUGCAGAACAAGAACGUGGUUUGGAGUAUCCAUGGACAAAACUCAAUGGUGCAGAUUGGCGGCGAUGCGUUGUGCUUGGGGUUUGUGGAUGGAGGAGUAAACCCUAGGACUUCCAUUGUCAUUGGAGCGCGCCAGCUGGAAAACUAUCUGCUUCAGUUUGAUUUAGCUACUUCAAGACUUGGCUUCAGCGACUCACUACUGUUCGAGCGAGCCACUUGCACCUUCAACUUUACAUCCAUUGCAUAAUAAUUUUAAGCAUGUUUGCCUGUUAUUUGUGUGAUGAAUAAAAUGGUCAUGGACCAAUGAUUCGACGCAAUGGUCAGACCAAAUAAUGUACCUUGCUGCACUUGAUCAAUUUAAUUUAUUAUUAAGAGAAUAAAAGAUAUAUUUUUGAAGUAUAUGCUGCGAAUUGUGGUGAUAAUCAUAUCUGUGACCUUACAAAAUUGGGAGGCCCCCCAGAACUCAUUUCUAGUCUUAUCCAUAUUUCUGAUUUGAAAGAUUUUGUAACGAGUCAAUUUCUUUAUUAUCUUUAAUUUACAAAUUACAAGAUAAUUUUUUUUUUAUCACUAUAGAAACUACUGGGUCAAUAAUGCUUCUAGCUGUAUAGCUCACAAAAUCUAAAGAAGUUUGGCAGCACAUAGCUUAGAUAAGGAUUUUAUAAUUAAAUAAAAAUAGGCGGUAGAAUUCUUCAAUAGUCUUCCUGCUGGUUUUUCUUCUUUGCUUUAUUAUGAUCUAUGCUAUCUAAAUUUCUCUUUCGGCGCAAAUCUGAUCACAAACGUUUAUGUGCACGCAAGUUCAUGCUUUUAAGCAAUGAUUAAAAUAUAAAAAAUAAAAUAAAGUAAAAACAAAUAGUAGUAAUUAUGAAUUUAUUAUUUUCUUAAGAAAUUGACUUCAUGAAUUUCAGUUCAUGCAGGUCAGCGGUUUUGAAAACUACGCGUACAAGCUGAUAGUAUACGACAAUAACAAGAUUAAAAAAAAUAAUAAUAAAAGUUCAACAUCAAAUGUAAUUAACUAAUAAUUUUACAGGACCAAUGAGCUGGAUUAGUCAAAGUCAAAAUUCGAGUUAAUGCACUUCAGCAAUCUGGAUAAGUUAGAGGUUUUGCAUGUCGCCUUGUCGCCAUUAUUGACGUCUCCAACCCGCGGCAUAUUUUAUGUAAUAAUUACAUUCAAUUUUCAAUCAACACGUUCUAAGAAAAUUUACAAAACUAACCAAAUUAUUAUUAUUAAUUCUUAUUCUCUCAGUCUGACCAUAAAUUAUAAAUAACAUGUUUAAUACUGCUAUAAAUAUGCACUUGGCACCGGCUUCUCCGAAGCACUCAAUUAAGCCAAACAUGGCCAUCUCCUAUAAUGAUCUUCUUCUCUUUUGCUCUCUUGUCCUUUUCAUCACUCCCUCUUUAGCCCAAACAUCAUUUAGACCAAAAGCACUACUUCUUCCAGUCACCAAGGAUGCAUCAACUCUCCAAUACGUCACUCAAAUCAACCAAAGAACCCCCCUAGUGCCAGUGAAAUUGACCCUUGAUCUUGGUGGCCAGUUCCUUUGGGUUGAUUGUGACCAAGGCUAUGUCUCGUCUUCUUAUAAACCCGUCCGUUGCCGCUCGGCUCAAUGCAAUCUUGCUCGGUCUAAGUCUUGUGUCCAAUCCUGCUUCUCUCCCCCAAGGCCAGGCUGCAACAAUGACACGUGCGCUCACCUCCCAGAUAACACAAUAACAAACACCGGCACAAGCGGCGAGCUUGCUACAGAUAUUGUAUCUAUACAAUCAACUGAUGGCAAGAAUCUGGGCCGGGUCGUUUCAGUGCCUAACCUUGCAUUUGCUUGUGCAGCAACGUUUCUUCUAGAAGGUCUUGCUAGUGGAGUUAAGGGCAUGGCUGGCCUUGGAAGAACUAGAAUAUCACUUCCUUCACAAUUCUCUGCUGCUUUUAGCUUUGAUCGAAAGUUUGCCAUUUGCUUAAGUUCUUCUUCCAGAGUAAACGGUGUCGUCCUCUUCGGUGACGGGCCAUAUUUUUUCCUUCCCCGCGAUAUUGAUUUCUCAAAGUCUCUCUUUUACACCCCUCUUAUACUCAAUCCUGUGAGUACCGCCGGCGCUUUCUUCGAAGGUGAACCCUCAGCUGAAUACUUCAUUGGAGUAAAAUCGAUCAAGAUCAACGGAAACACUGUCCCAUUGAACACAUCAUUGCUAUCCAUCGAUAAAGAAGGCUUUGGCGGUACGAAAAUCAGCACCGUCAAUCCUUACACAGUGCUGCAUACUUCAAUUUACAAUGCUCUAGCUCGAGCUUUCAUCAAAGAGGUAGCUAAUAUCCCUAGAGUCACACCAGUGGCACCGUUUGGUGCAUGCUUCAACUCUACAUUCGUUGGUAGCACACGUGUCGGCCCAGCAGUGCCUCAGAUUGAUUUGGUGUUACAGAGCAAUACUGUAAUCUGGAGAAUUUUCGGUGCAAAUUCUAUGGUACAAGUCAGAGAUGAUGUGUUGUGCCUAGGUUUUGUGGACGGUGGAGUAAACCCUAGGACUUCAAUUGUGAUCGGAGGGCAUCAAUUGGAGGACAAUCUUCUACAGUUCGAUCUGGCCACAUCAAGGCUAGGCUUCAGCUCUUCUCUCCUGUUCCACCAAACAACUUGUGCCAACUUCAACUUCACAUCAAAUGCUUAGAAAGAAUAUCGAAUAUCAUAUCAUUGAUACGAUUGUAUGAUCUGUAUUAUUUAUUUAUGCUUGUUACAGCUCACAACCUCAAUAAACGAUCAUGGUAGCUUUGUCAUGAUCCCACCCAUGUAAUAUUUCAAUAUCAAGUUGCAGUAAAAUCCGAAAGUUUGAUAGAUUUAAUAAUAAAAAGCUGACUGUUUUAUUAGCACAAAUUGUGGCACAUGCUUUUAUAUAUAUUAUACUUAUAAGCACCUUCUGAGCAUAUAUAUAAAUGAGGAUAUUCGGUUAACUUCUUGAAACAAUUACAUUCAUGAUAAGAGAAUUUAUUGGCUAUUUAUGUUAAAGAAUAAUAAGAAUAUGGAGGCAAAGAACAAAAAAAAUUUCUUAGGAUUUGAGACGUGUUUGCACACUUUCCUUUAAGGUUUUAUUUGCCCUCUCCAAUCUUGGUUUGUUAUAGAGUAUUAAUGGCAAAUUACCCCCAAGAUAUAUCAAAUUCUGAAUACAAUCUCUAGCAAAUAAGAUUGUAUUUCCAGAACAUAUAUGAAACCUGCAAAAUCUGAUGAUAUUACCAAAAUGUGUAUAUUUCUUUUAUGAAGAAGAUGUUAAUUCAAAAGAAUGCAACCAUUCGAAAUGGUACUUCUUAAAAAAAACUCUUUUGGUUUGAAUUUGCAACGAUUAACACUUGAAAUUUUCAAGCUUGUCAACCGUUUUCCAGUUGACGCCUUUCUGAAAAUAAACGGUUAACCGUUUUCUCAAUAAACGGUGAGCCGUUUUAUUCCAGAAUGUCAAAUAUGUUGCCCUCUGUACAUAAACGGUUAACCGUUUUCUCAAUAACCGGUGAGCCGUUUUCUCUAGACCAUAAAACAUGCUCUCUGGAGUUAAACGGUUAGCCGUUUUCUCCAUAAACGGCAAACCGUUUUUGUCCAUAAUAUCAAACCAAAGAUUAAAAAUGUUACAAUCUCUCUUACAAUCCCCACUAGAUUGUAAUAUUUUUCAGAUUUAUUAAUGAUCAACUUAUACAUACAAAAAGGUAUCUUUCGAUUUUAACCUUUAAUUAGUGAGUGUAUUUCAAAGCAUUUACAAGACAAUAGUGUGCUAAGCAUUAAACUUUGUCUCUUAAGUAAAUACCGGAGAUACAUCACAUAUAAGCUAUCCCAGAUUUCAAAGUUGUGUUCCAAUAGUUAGCACUAUUCCGGCCUUGUGCUCUAUCUUGGAUUCAUGAACAUUUACAAGAUUAAACCAUGACCUUGUUAGAAACGGCACCAUUUCUUAUGUUCACUUAGGUGAAGUUUCAAAUCAUGUCUUUAGCUACUAUAAGACUUGAACUUCAUUAAGAGUAAAUACUCAACCUCAACCUCGUAGCUAUUUACACCGAAACUCUCGAAUGGGAUUAUUUAUUACUCGGUGCCAAACCAGUCACAUAACAACAACUUGUUAUUACCCAUUUAACUAUGGAGUAGUGGUAUAACUACUACAUAGUUGGGUUACCGUCUUUGGUGACUUUAUUAUGUAAAGGUUUCAAUCUCAUUCCAAAAGAUGUAUCCUUAACUAAGUCUCUUGAAAGACCUUUUGUUAAAGGAUCUGCUAGGUUCUUAUUAGUCCUAACAUAAACAAUAUUAAUAACACCAUCUGCUAUUAAUUGUUUCACAUAUUUAUGUCUCAAGCUAAUAUGUCUAGACUUUCCAUUAUAUACUUUAUUAUAAACUCUAGACAAUGUAGCUUCACUAUCACAGUACAAAGAAAUAGAUGGCAUCGGCUGUGGCCACAACAUUAUAUCAAACAAUAAAUUUCUCAGCCAUUCUGCUUCUUUGCCUGCAGCCGCAAGUGCUAUAAACUCAUUUUCCAUUGUUGAAUGAGUUAUGCACGUUUGUUUCUUUGAAGCUCAAGAAACUGCUCCUCCAGCAAUUGUAAAAAUCCAAUCAGAAGUGGAUUUAUUAUCUCUUGUAUUGGUUACCCAACUAACAUCUGAAUAUCCUUCCAGUACUUCAGGAUAAUCAUUAUAAAACAAACCCAAAUUAAUGGUCUUUUUAAGAUAACCAAGUAUCCUACCAAUUGCUUUCCAGUGUUCAACGCUAGGGUUACUCGUGAAUCUUGACAUUUUGCAAACUGCAAAUGCUAUAUCAGGCCUCGUACAAUGCAUAGCAUACAUCAAGCUACCAAUAGCACUAGCAUAUUCUAGUUGUGCUACUACUCGGCCUGAAUUCUCUAGUAAUUUAAUACUAGAAUCAUAUGGGGUAUUAGCUUCUUUAAAUUUCAAAUAAUUGAAUUUAAGAAGCACUUUCUCUAUAUAAUGAGAUUGACACAACGAGUAACCCCCACUAUGUUUCUUCACUUUGACACCUAAGAUAGUAUCUACUUCACCAAGAUCUUUCAUCUUAAAUUGUGAAGUUAAAUACUUCUUUGUAUCAUCUACUCCUUGCAUAUUUGUUCCAAAGAUAAGCAAGUCAUCAACAUACAAGCAUAUAAUCACACCAAAAUCAUUCGUAAAUUUAAAAUAUAUACAUUUAUCAGCAUUAUUAUGCUUAAAACCAUCACAUAACAACAACUUGUUAUUACCCAUUUAACUAUGGAGUAGUGGUACAACUACUACAUAGUUGGGUUACCGUCGUUGGUGACUUUAUUAAUGAAAGGUUUCAAUCCCAUUCCAAAAGAUGUAUCCUUAACUAAGUCUCUUGAAAGACCUUUUGUUAAAGGAUCCGCUAGGCUCUUAUUAGUCCUAACAUAAACAAUAUUAAUAACACCAUCUGCUAUUAAUUGUUUCACAUAUUCAUGUCUCAAGCUAAUAUGUCUAGACUUUCCAUUAUACACUUUAUUAUAAGCUCUAGACAAUGUAGCUUCACUAUCGCAGUGCAAAGAAAUAGAUGGCAUCGGUUGUGGCCACAAAAUUAUAUCAAACAACAAAUUUCUCAGCCAUUCUGCUUCCUUGCCUGCAGAUGCAAGUGCUAUAAACUCACUUUCCAUUGUUGAGUGAGUUAUGCACGUUUGUUUCUUUGAAGCCCAAGAAACCGCUCCUCCAGCAAUUGUAAAAAUCCAACCAGAAGUGGAUUUAUUAUCUCUUGUAUUAGUUACCCAACUAGCAUCUUGCUAGAGAUUGUAUUAAGGAUUUGUUAUAUCUUGGAGGUAAUUUACAAUUAAAACUCUUUAGCAAACCAAGAUUGGUGAGGGCAAAUAAAAUUUUAAAGGAAAGUGUGCAAACACGUCUCAAAUCCUAAGAAAUUUCUUUGUUCUUUGCCUCCAUAUCCGAAAAUCCACCAACAUGUCUGUCACACGUAAACGUACGUACAAGGUGUCAAAAGUUUUACCAAAUAAAUAAAAAUGAGUGAGAGAGAUUAUCAAUUAACUAAAACAAACAUACCAGCACAUCCUAGAUAGGGGUUUCCCUCAAAUCCAGCAUAAGCAGCGAUAACCUUCGCCAUUGUCAGAGUUUUUACAGUCAGUAUGAUUAGCGCAAGCAUAAACAGAUGAAUUUUGACUUACCACUGGGCACUUCUCUUCUUUAACUACCCAUUCUACCGUAACUUUCGAACUUAUUUCAUUAUCUGGGCUGUAAUCAGAGGAGCGCAACUCUGAUAAAUCAAAGUGCUCGUCUGCUAAAACUGCGUAAUCACACUGGAUGGUCUCCCCCGUUAACAUUCCACUGUAAUUAUAAGUGCUAUCAAGAGAUAUAUUAAGCGACUUGAGACUUUUGGCCAAUCCAAUCUGGCAGCAACCGAUACCAUGGCAGGAAUUAUGUUUGUUGUUCAAAGAGCUAAUAUCUCCCAAGCAUAUAGAACCGCAGAUACUCCCAAAGCUCCCAAAGCGGUCAGUCAUGGUGGCCGUCGUAUCGCAGCCGAAAGCCGUCAGCUUAUUUCUAGUGUCUGAAAAUCUGAAUGGUCUGCCGUCUCCUAGGUCGAAUUGAACGUUUGAAUAGUUCAACCGUCCGGAGCUAUUGUAGCAGCUUCGUGCUGUCCACAUGCUUGCGAUCAUGGAGCCAUCUUCAAUUGAUAUAUUAAGAACAACAAUAUUUCCAUACAUCAGUUUGGGCGGCGAGAAGCUUUUGUUACACUUCAGAGAGAAAUUAACGUUCAAAGCACACUUAGGGUCGUCAAUUCCGAAGGGAUAAGGAACAGUGAUACCUCCACAUUUUUCCUGGCAACCAGGCUUUGCAUUAUUCGAGCUGCUUGCUGCCGCUUGCCAAGACAAGAUCAGCAGCAUGAACCAAAGCUUCCACAUUUUUUUUUUUUGUUCCCUCAAUUAAUAUUGUUCACGAUUAAUUUUUUUUCUUUUCAAUAUGCUAUUGGCUCCUAAUCGAGAUCGCAUUGCAUUUUAUACAAAUGCAUUGUCCGAGAGGAACCAACUUAGAAAGUCUUGAGAGUCUUCGUUGACAUUAAGUCAUGCUCCUUAGCUGCAAAUUUUUCAAAAUCUUGUUUUCAUAAUUAUAAACGGAGCUAACCGUGUUAAAUACUCUUUCCUUUUUGUUUCUGUACGUAGGCCCCACGUACAAAAAAUUACUCAACCCUAGUAUAAACUACAUAUAGCUAGCGUUGUGUUACCAUAAAAUUUAAAAAUGUUACAACAAUUUAGAUGUUGUCAUAAGAUAAAAAUUAAGUAAACUAAGAUAAGAAAUUGGGCUUGUUAAUUACCUAAUGACGACGGAUUGAUGCUCUCAGUAUUGUUCAAGUUUCCAUGACUUUUUCUUAUAUCGAAAAAAAAAAGUGGAAUUAAAAAUAUAUUUUUCUCCAAAAUUAUUAGUGGGAGUAGAUUUCAGAGCUACUAUUAAUUUAUAGGCUACAUUAUAAGUAUAUUUAUUGUUAUGCAAGUUUUAAUGCACUUGCAAACGCACAAAUCUAUUGGAAUAUAGAGUAAAAAUAAAGAAGUUGAACCCAUUGUCAUUUUUACGGAAAGUCAAAUCUAAUUUGAAGUCUAAACUAACUAUGACUUUACUCUAGUUGAAAAAUAAAUAUUUGUUUGAAGAGAUUUAAUCUAAAGAUGCAAGUAAAAUUAAAAAAUAAAUAUCCAUUUGAUGCACAUAUAAAUUGUUCAAUGAAGCAAUUGCAAAUAGCACUCUUAUAGAAGUUAACCUAGCUACCGGAGCAUAUGUAUCGAAAUAGUCAAUACCAUUUCUUUGCUUAAACCCUUUGGCUACUAAUCUAGCCUUAAAAGUUUGCAAAGAACCAUCAUUAUUGUACUUUCUUCUAAAUACCCAUUUGCUGCUAAUUGGUUGAGAUCCUGGAGGAAGAUCAACCAAGACCCAUGUUUGAUUCGAUAUAAUUGAAUCAAUUUCAUCAUUUACCGCCUCUCUCCAAAAAGAAGCGUCUCUAGAAGACAUAGCCUCGCUAAAUGUCUUUGGAUCUUUUCAAUAUUUAACAACAAUGGUACUUUGUUAAGUACAUUCUUUCUAUCCCCUUCAACCAAGAAGAGUAGUGCUUGUGAUGAAAUAAAAUCCGGAGCUAAACUUUUUUCUUUCUUUUCACGUUGACUCCUCCUUAGUUCGAAAGAUGUCGUAGACUCUUUCCUUUUAUUAUUGUUAGUGGAGGUAACAGGAGUAUUAACACAUGGUUGAUCAAUAAUUGAUUCUGAUUCAAUAUUAUAAUCAUGUUGAAAUUUAUUCUCAAUAAAUUCAACAUAUCUAGAUUCCACAAUCAUAUUAGAAUCUAAAUCUAACAACCUAAGCCUUGGAAUUUUCAGCAUAUCCUACGAAAACACUUUUUAUACCUCUAGCACUCAACUUUGAUGACUUAGGGUCAUGUAUUUUAUAAAAGGCUAAACAACCCCAGACCCUUAAAUACAUCAAGUUUGGUUUUCUUCCUUUCCAAAUUUCAUAAGGAGAUAUAUGUGUUUUCAAAGAUGUAAUUCUGUUAUGAAUAUGACAUGCAGUGAGUAAUGCUUCCCCCCACAAAUUAUUUGGUAGUUUUGCAUUAAGGAUCAUGGAAUUUAUCAUAUCCGUGAAGAUCCUAUUCUUCCUUUCAGCCAAACCAUUUUGUUGAGGAGUAAAUGGAGCUGAUCUUUGGUGAAUAAUUCCAACUUCCUCACAAUAAUUAUUAAAUUCAAUUGAGAAAUAUUCACCACCUCUAUCACUACGAACCAUUUUGAUUUUCUUAUCUUUUUGGUUCUCAACUUCAGCUUUGAAAAUUUUAAAUUUAUCAAAAGCUUCACUUUUUGUUCUAAGUAAAUACACAUAAGUGUAUCUAGAACAAUCAUCAAUAAAAGUGAUGAAGUAUCUCUUACCUCCUCUUGUUAAAAUGCCAUUAUACUCACAAAUAUCAGUAUGUAUCAAAUCCAAUAUUUGAGUAUUUCGUUCAGCUUUAGGAAAAGGUUUCUUAGUUAUUUUAGCUUGGAUGCAGAUUUCACACUUAUGACCUUUAACAUCAUUGCAAUUAAUCAAACCAUGCUUAGACAUGUAUUUCAAAGAUCUAAAGUUCAAAUGUGCUAAUCUAGCAUGCCAAACAUCACAAGACUCAACAAUAUAAGCUAAGUUGAUAUUAUUAUUAUUAAUGCUGAGUUUGUACAUUUCAUCACAAGAAUACCCUUUCUCAACAAAUAAUCCAUUCUUUGACACAAUACAAGUAUUAUCCUCAAGCACAAUCUUAAGCUCAUGCUUACACAUACAACUAGCAGAAAUAAGAUUCUUCCUAACGGAAGGUACAUGAAAGACAUUAUACAAUGUGACUUUCUUUCCAGAAGUGAAGUUGAUCUCAACUACUCCUUUCCCUGCUACUAUGGCUGUAUUAUUGUUCCCCAUGAGAACUAUUUGUCCUUCCGUUUCUUCUUUGUAUGAUAAGAAAAAUUUCUUAUCAUUACAAACAUGAAUUGUUGCAGCCGAAUCGAGCCACCAAUCAUAGGACUUAGUUUCAGCCAUAUUUGUUUUUGUAAUCAUGCCAAUUUGCAUUUCAGAAACCAUAGCACAAAUCUCUUCAGAUUUGUUUUCAAUCACAUUAGCUUUAUGGGAAUUCACUUCUUCCUUUUUCUUCUUGAAUCUGCAAUCACUUUGGCGAUGUCCUUUCUUACCACAAAAGAAACAAUUUCCAGAAAAAUUUUGUGUGCUGGACUUUUUGAAUUUCUUGUCAUUCUUGACUUUAAAAUUCUUUGAGAAUUUACUAGCUUCAACAACAUUAACUUUAGUAUAAUCAUGCUUAUCCUUGGAUUCACGAGACCUAGUCUCUUCUUCAAUUACCAAGUGUUUUUUGCAAUUCUUCUAAAGUUAUGUUCUCUUUACUAUGAAGGAGUUUCUUUCUAUAAUCAUUCCAACUUUGAGGCAAUUUAGCAAUAAUAGCCCCAACUUGAAAUGAUUCAGAAAUUUCAACUUUUAACUCUCGAAGCUUAGCAACAAUAAUUUGUAACUCAUGUAUUUGAUCAAGAAUGGAUUUUGUAUCUACCAUAAUAAAAUCAAAAUAUUUAGAUACAAGAAAUUUGUCGGUACCUUCUUUCUCCGUUUUGUAUUUGUACUCAAGAGCAUUCCAAAUUUCCACCGGAGAAGUCAUAGAAUUGUAUAGAUCAUAUAACCUGUCAGAAAGCGUAUUGAAUAUGUGACCUCGGCACAUCAAUUCAUCAUCUUCACGACGUUUCCUUGCAGCCUUAACAACUUCGGUAUCAUCUUCUCUUGGUUCUGGAAAUGGUUCCAAUUUCGGAUCAAGAACAUAUGCCACUUUAAGAACAGUAAGAAGAAAGAACAAUUUUUCCUUCCAACGAGUGAAAUUAGUUCCAUCAAAACGAUCGAGAUGGACACUAGGAUUCAGAAAUGAUGUCAAACACUUCUCAGCCUCCAUUUGUAUAUAUAAAACCUUAAAGAUUGUUAAAGAGUAAUAAGAAUAUGGAGGCAAAGAACAAAGAAAAUUUCUUAGGAUUUGAGACGUGUUUGCACACUUUCCUUUAAGGUUUUAUUUGCCCUUUCCAAUCUUGGUUUGCUAUAAAGUAUUAAUGGCAAAUUACCCCCAAGAUAUAUCAAAUCCUGAAUACAAUCUCUAGCAAAUAAGAUUGUAUUUCCAGAACAUAUAUGAAACCUGCAAAAUCUGAUGAUAUUACCAAAAUGUGUAUAUUUCUUUUAUGAAGAAGAUGUUAAUUCAAAAGAAUGCAACCAUUCGAAAUGGUACUUCUUAAAAAAAAACUCUUUUGGUUUGAAUUUGCAACGAUUAACACUUGAAAUUUUCAAGCUUGUCAACCGUUUUCCAGUUGACGCCUUUCUGGAAAUAAACGGUUAACCGUUUUCUCAAUAAAAGGUGAGCCGUUUUAUUCUAAAAUGUCAAAUAUGUUGCCCUCUGUACAUAAACGGUUAACCGUUUUCUCAAUAACCGGUGAGCCGUUUUCUCUAGACCAUAAAACAUGCUCUCUGGAGUUAAACGGUUAGCCGUUUUCUCCAUAAACGGUGAGCCAUUUUCUCUAAACCAUAAAACAUGCUCUCUGGAGUUAAACGGUUAGCCGUUUUCUCCAUAAACGGUGAGCCAUUUUCUCUAAACCAUAAAACAUGCUCUCUGGAGUUAAACGGUUAGCCGUUUUCUCCAUAAACAGCAAACCGUUUUUGUCCAGAAUAUCAAACCAAAUAUUAAAAAUGUUACAAUCUCUCUUACAAUUUAAAUAAUAGCUUGUGCUGAUCAAUUAAUUGACUAAAAGUAGUUAUUAGGGAGAUUCGUUUAUUCUUUAACUAGUAAUUAAUAUAAAUGAAGAGGGACGGGCCGUAAGGAAUUGAUUCUAUAAUAAUGUUUAUAGUGAUAAGAUCGAGUCAACUGAAAAUAAAUUAUAAAUAAGCUAAGUAUGGUCAUUUUUAGGUAAAACUUAUUAAAAUUAAGGAAAGUGAUUAGGCAGAAAGUAAUCAAAAUUAUGAAACUCAUCAUCCUAACAUACAAAUAUUUAUACACACUUAUAUUAUAUAUAACUCGUACGGCCAUACGUGUUUGUUAACAUAGCAGGACCCUUGUAUUCGACAUGUCAACUAUAAAAAUGAUGAUAAUAACAGCUAUAUCUUUUUAAUUUGAUGCUACGGAUGUUAUGUUGAUUCAUUUUUCAUAAAAAGAAAGGUCAGCUACUAUGCAAUAACUAGUUACAGUAAAGUAGUAAAUAAUAGAUAGACGAUAAUGUAUGGCUCAAAUCCAUAUUUUAAAACCUGUAGAAAUUUACACUUAAAAUUUUUUAUAGGACUAUUAGAAUACUAUAUAAACUACUACAUUUUCGGUAAUUGAUAACUCAUUUAUUGGCAUUGAUAGACCAUGUCAUGAUUUUGUAAAGUCUUUCAGCUUUUUAUCAACUCAUGAUUUAUUAAAUAAAGCAAAUUAUGUCUGGAAAUGUGAAAGAAACUAAAAGCAAUUGUCGAAAGAAGAUGAUCGAGAAAGGAACGUUUGUAUUUCAUGUAAUUGUACAUUCCUUCGAUCGGUAACCGAAGAAGGUCAAAGCCAAAUAGAAAGUUGAGUCCAAAUUCAGUUCACAUUCACUAGAGCUUUCGUUCCAAAAUUCCAUUAAUGGACAAAGGACAGAACGAGCAGAAAGUGCCAACUUACAUACCCACGAUAUAAAUUUAAUGGUGACCGGGCUUGGCUUUCCUUUUCCCGUUUACCACACUUGUCUCUUUUUCUCCUCCUCUACUCAUUACCAUUUCUGAAUCUUUCCGCUCCUUCAAUUCUCCCAAUUUUAUUUUUAUUACUUAUUUAUGAAGCCCACUGGCCUCUUAUUAAGCCCAAUAACAAAUCAUUUUGAGCCCGCAUGCUGGAGAUCCUGGCUGGAAUUUAGCCCACAGGUUUUCCAUUUUUGCAAUCUUCUCAUGUUAUAAAUGGUUAGAAAAACUUUUUCAGCCCAAAAAAAAAAAAGGUUAGAUAAACAUAUAUGCAUAGUAACUUUGGAAAUCUUUUGAUAAUUUGGAACCAUGUUGUUACUUUUAUGCCAAUUAGUAUAAGACAAGAGGGUGCCAUGUCCCCUGCAUAAUUUUAAAAAAAUUUAGAGUUUAUAAAUAAAAUAUAAAAAGUUAGUGUAAAAUGUUCAUAUUAGCCCCUGCACAAUUAAUGUAUAAAGUUAAUAAAUUAGAUAAUAUUAUAAUUUUACCGUUAAGUCAACUAAUGAUAGCAUCAAAAUAAUAAGAAACAAAUCAGCCAAACCCACUAAAGUUCACUAAUUCUCUAAUAUAUAAUAAUAUAAAAAUUAGAAGCUCAAAUUUGGCCCCCAUAGAAUUUUUCCCUGAGCUCCGCCCCUGUUUAACUGUCAAGAAAAAGUAAUUAAGCAUUAAGCAUAGGUGGAUUAGAUAACAUGAGCAAUUAGUUGUCAAGGUAAAAACUUUAGUUAUUGUGAUUUCGUGCAGCCCAGCAGUCUAGUAAACUUAGUUUGGGGUACACAUCAUUUCUACAUGUAAUUCCCUCCUUAGUCAUGUUUAUUUUAUUUGCUUUGUGAGCUAUUUUAUUAGAAGAUAUUUGUUAAUGUUGACACAGGAAAAGUGACAGUGUACUCAAUGGAGCCAAUCCACAGAGAGGAAGGUGUUUCACAUGUUAGGUUUCAAUCAAUCCCAAUAACGGGCAAAGGUUCUUGACCAGAGCUUUCAUGCAGCACAAGAAAUUGAUAGUCCACAUGCUCCCGCACCAGAAUCCUUAUAAGCCACCCAACACGCACUAAUCUUUUCCUCUUCCUUUUUUCCUGGAAGUGACGAAACUGAAGAUAUUUUAAGAAUAAUUGUGAUUCGGAUUACUAUAUUUGUAAGCAUUAUCUUCUAAUGGCAUAAAGAUGUCGGUCCCAUUUGAAAGAGUCAGGAAAUGGCCAAUUUGAGUCGAUUACAGAACAAUCUUCUGUCAUAUAUUCUCGGUAGUUGGAACAACACUAUCGUCAUAACUUGCAACAGAUACUGAUUCCAACACUUUAGUUUAGAAUAAGGCCGUAUUAAGAUUGUGUAGUAGUUGUUGCAAUAGCAUAUUUGAUAAAUACUAUACCAGCUCUGAUUUAAAAAUUAAAUUGAUUUGAUUCCUCGCUUGUAUCAUGAAAACUGAUAAUAUCUUUAUUUUUUUUAUUAAAAUUAUUAUUUAAAAGUUACAUUCACUACACAUUAUUAACUUUUAUUUUAUAGUUAUAAUUUUUUUUAUAACAACUGUAAUUUAAAGUUUUAACACCUCAAUACCAAAUAAAGAUUAAGUUAACAAAUUGUCAUUUUCGGAUCUAUAUAUAUAAAACUUAUGAAUUUGUUAGCCCACGUCAAAAGUGAUGAGGUGGCUUUCUAUCCUCAUAGUUUCGUUUUAAAUUUUCUACAACAUUUAAAAAAAUUUCAUUUAAACAAAAUCUUUAGGAGAUUAGAUGAUAUGUUAAAGAAUUAUAUUUGCAUCACAGUUGUAAACUUGUUUUUGGCUAAGCAUCAACGGCAUGAAAGAAAAUUUUAUUAAUAAAAAAUGAAUUAUAGUUCUGAACCACAUCUGCUUCUUAUAUGAUAAACUGUCAAUUGAGCAUCAUCAGAGAUUAUUAACAUUAAUAAUAAUUAAAUGAAUAAAUUUGAAAAAGGCAAAUUAGUGAUGAUCUAAGGUGAGAACAUUCACUGUUACCUAUGCAUCUGGGUACCUUGUUAUGAUACAUAGCAUAUAACAAACGAUCCUCAUUGAAAUAAUAUUUGUUACAUAAUUAUGUAAGUUAACCCCGACCUGCCUUUGGCCAUGUGAUAAUAAAUGCUAUAAUCAUAUUAAUUUAAAUUGUCGAUAUAUCCUUGGCUUAAGGUGCAACAAUUAAGCUUAUAGCUAGUAAGUUGUAGUUGUUAAAUAAAAGGGGGAGUUUAUGAAUUUACUUUUUGUUGCACAUUGAUACGAGAAUGAUAAGAAAAUUGUCCAGUAAAAGUAGCCCUCAACCAAACACUCUAGACCUUCUUCAAAGUUUUUUUUUUUUUUUAUAAUAUUAAACCAUCCCGACUAAUUCAGAUUCGAGUCGAAUACGACCACUAGGGCUGCAAAACUCUCCCAACAAGUAUUUAAUGCAGCUGCAUUCCCAAACCUUAAACCGAAGACCUUAAUUAAGGUAAAACGACCAUAUACCAGUUGAUCUACGCGUUUGUUGGUACCUUUUUCAAAGUUUAAUAAAGCAAAAUAGCUCCAGAUACAGUUUUAGUUGCACAUUAAGACAAUGAUAAGAAAAUGAACACAGAGAAAGAGGAGAAUAAGUAAAGCUAACCAAAACUGAGAUUAAUUGUUGGGAACAAAAUGGUUAGCAUAAAAGUUGAAAACUAGUCUCUCUUGCAUUGCAGCACUUGAGAGCUAACACAUGAAUUGUGUUGAAGGUCUCACUUGUAUCGCCUUCCAAACUUAACAUCCCACGGGGCCAAAACUGUGUGAACAACAAACACAUUCUGUCGUUUUAUUUUUAAUAAUUAAUACCCGACUUUGUUAAUUCCAUUAUAUGUAUAUAUACAUCAAUCACAUACAAGAAACAAUUCAGCUUGUAUAUUGUGCAUGAUCUUUGCACCUCUUUGUCUGCGUUAUUUAAGACUCAAAGUUUCUGACCUAUCAAUUUUCCAAGAGAGCUAAUGAAAGGUUGAUCAUGAAAAUGAAUCCUUGUUUUGAUAAGCAAUCAUGUUCUGAAAUAUCAACUUGUGCAUCAACCAGCGGCCAGUCUGGGGAUGAUCCAGAGACGGGCUCAAAUGCAAUGUCGAUAAGGAACAAGGGUUUACUCUGCAUUCCACAUGAUAUUGAUCUAAACCCUGCACGCAUGGUAAGAAAAAUAAUAAUAAUAAUAAUAAUAAGCCUCUAAUUUUCAUCUUUCUCUUGUGGGCACGAACCACAUUUGGCCUAGGCAUUCUUUUUGUAUACAAAGUAAAGAUCUACCACUUUGAAGAUCUUAUAGUAAAGGCGUAUUAAGUAAGACUCUAAUCACAGAGGCGGCAUAAGUUAAUUGGUAACAUGCUUGAAACUCAGAACGUUUCUAGGCAUUGCACAAGAAUCGGGCAUACAAUUUCCUUGCCAGAAUAUAUAUGUAGGAAGUGAUUAGAGUUUGAUAAAAUGCAGGUUAUAGCAGAGCUGGUGGGGACUUUCAUAUUGAUGUUGUGUGUGUGUGGGAUCAUGGCAAGCACAGUUUUGACAAGAGGAGAAGUGGGACUCCUGGAAUAUGCAGCCACAGCAGGGCUAACAAUAAUCGUUUUGGUUUACAGUAUAGGGCCAAUCUCAGGUGCACAUGUUAAUCCUGCCGUCACUAUUGCUUUUGCAGUCGUCGGUCAUUUUCCUUUGUCGAAGGUAACUUUUAUUAAUUACACAAAUUCUACUCUUUAAUAAGAGUGAUCAAGUAACAAACUUGAAACUGAUAAUUAUUUGCUUAAUUAACAGGUUCCAUUUUAUAUAAUGGCUCAAACAGCGGGUUCUGUGUUGGGAACAUACAUUGGAAUAUUAGUGUAUGGCAUAAAAUCUAAUCUCAUGAUCACUAGACCAGCUCAACACUGCGUUUCUGCCUUCUGGGUUGAGCUCCUUGCCACUUCCAUUAUUGUGUUCCUCGCCGCAUCAUUGGCCUGUGAAGCUCAAUGCGUAAGCUGAACUUUCCACAUGCAUUAAUGUGACUCAAAUCAGUUUCUAUACUUUUUUUUAUAGAGAAAAAGAUUAAUGCUGAUAACUUGGAUUUUGAAUUAAAAAAACUGCAGUUUGGCAAUUUAUCAGGAUUUGUUGUCGGAGUAGCGAUUGGACUUGCAGUGCUUAUUACAGGGUAAGUACCAAGAAACAUAACAUUGGACUAUUUCUUGGAAGCACUUUUUUUCAUUUCUUAACUUGUUGCCUUCAUAUUUCAGGCCUGUUUCCGGAGGAUCAAUGAAUCCUGCAAGAUCACUAGGACCCGCAAUUGUGUCCUGGAACUUCAGCGACAUAUGGAUUUAUAUCAUUGGCCCCACAAUUGGAGCUGUAGCAGGCGGUUUCGUGUAUCGUUUUCUCCGUCUCCGGCCCCGGGCUUGUAGCCCCAGCACUUCCCCUAACACCAGUCUACUUAGUCACUCCUUUAUGUUUGUUAGGUGACAGUUCAAAAGCCAUAUCUGAGUGUGCUUGAACAGCUGUUUAUUAGGUAAAUUUAUCUACCAAAUUGUAUUUUCAGAUUUGGAAUCAACAGAAUAAAUUUAUUUUAAGUGUUGAUAGCCCUUGGUGCUUUGUGAUAUUGUCAGUUAAAAUAGAAUUAAAUUGAACCCACCAUUUUACUGUGAUACAGGAUCUUUCUCAUCAGAAUAUUUAACUAUGUAUUAUUACAUGAUGCAUUUCCGUGAUGUGUAUGUGCAUUAAUGCGCGAAGCAGUCACUCUCGAAAAAUAUUAUUGGGCCAACAUAUGGAAUCGAGGCCUUUUUCGGUAAGGAAAUAAUCCUCUUUAUAAAAGAAAAAGAAAAUCAUAUUCCCAUCAAAUAAGUUUGUCAUAAUAAUAUAAAAUUAAGUGAUAUAAAUUUCAAUUUUAUUUGACUAGUUACCUGUGUUCAAAUUUUAUAAAGAUGAAGGGCUAAAAUAUAAAUAGAUAUUUUUAUAAAUAUUUUUAAGUUUAAAUUAUCAAGACAAUCCACUUAUUUUUCAGAAGAAUUUUAAAAUACAUAUGAGGUAAUAUAAUCAAUUAAUAUAUACAUAAUAUAUAUAAUUGAUUUAUAUAUAAUCAUCAGUCAUACGCUGAUUCUUUAAAAUAAAUACACGAUAACAUUAUUUAUUUAUUUAUUAUAUAACUAACAUAAUAUCUAAAAGAUAUUUUUAAAUUUCUCAUAAAUUUAAAUAAAUUAAUCUAUUCAAUAAUAGUUUGGAAUGACGUGCGUUCAAAAUUUAAUUGUAAGAUUCUCGUUGAAUCAUAAAUCAUUAUCGAAACUUUAUCCAUAUUAAAAAUUGUAGACAUCGGCAAGCAAUAAGAAAAAUAUUUGAACUUCAUUAUCAAAGUUUGCCCGUAUUGAUUAAUGAGUCUUUGUUUUAAUAAGAGAAAUUUCACACUUAUAAAAUUGAGUGUAAGGGUUCGAAUUUUCGUAAGAGUAUUAUAGAGAUUAGUUUCAGUAUUUUCUCAAUUAUUAAUUAAUUGAGUAAAAACAAUUUAUUUUUUAUAAAAUAUAAAUAAGAUAGACACCCGUUAACAUUCAAAUAUUAAAGAAUUUAUCUUAUUAUUUUCCUGGUUGCGUUAUGUCAGGUCAUGUCAACAUGAUGGUUAUGGGCACCACCCACCGUAAUCAGAAAGACGGAAACGAAACCCUAGUGGAGGAUUUGUGUCAGCCUACGUGUAAACAAUAUGAUAAUUAUAAACAAUUGAUAAGGAUAAUACUAUACGCAUUAUUAAUCAAAUUUCCAUAACAAAAAGAGAUGGGGUCUUCUCGAUUCCCCAAAAUUUUAUUCAACCAUUCCAAAAUGCAACUGAAUGGCCGCUUUGAUUAGACCAAGGAAUUGUCUAGAAAGCUUAGAAUUAUUUAAAAAAUUAAAAAAUGAAAUUAUAUUUUAAAAAAUUCAAGAUUUUUUUCGUUUCAUGAUAGUGUAAUCAAUAAACAAGAAUCUAGAAUGCACUACAAAUUUGUAAGAAUCAAUUAUUUGGUUGAGUGAUUUUUUCUUUUAGUAUCUUAAGAUAUUUUAUGUGCUUCACCAAAAACAAAAAACAAAAAUUAUGUGCCUUUUUUUUUUUUUUUCAAUCUCUAAUCAUACUACCAGACAUAUACCCAACACCAUCCCACCUUAAAUUAAACAAAUUAAGUUUCGCUAUCUGAAUUUAAAAAUUUUACUCGAGAUCAUAUUUUAUGGGUCACUCCUCUAUUUAAGGUUAAAAAAGAAAAAUAAAUAAUAAUUUCAAGCACCAACAAGCGGCAGAUACACUACUCCAUGUAAAUAAAAGACAUGCAGUAGGAUACAAAUGCCUGAAGAUAAUCUGUCUUCCCAACACACUGGAUAUGAUGCAACAAUUUGACAAAGUUGAACCAUUUCUAAUUGGCUUAUUAAUUCUACUUUUUGAUUUUUUUUUUUUUCUUUAACUACGUAACAAAGAAAUUAAGAGCGACAUUUAAAUAAUUAAACAGUAUCAGUGCCCCAUUUAGUACGCUGAGACUUUAGGCCCAUCAACUCAACUUCAAAAGUAACCUUAAAAGUAUUAGAAUCCAAAGUAUACAAAAUCUUCAACUGUAAAAAAAAUACUUAUGACUUAUGAGGCAGCACUCACCCCACCCUAAAUGACUAGUUUAUAUAUCACUGAUGACGAAAAAGAAAACAAUAAAUUAAAGAACAAAAUUCUGAAUACGUUAUUAAUAAAAAAAAAUUAUGUAGCUUUAUUAAGGCUUUACUUCCUUUUAAUACUAGGAAUAAUAAAAUAAAAUAAUCCUAAGGAUGUAUAAUUUCUAGAACACUAGAUGAACUUCGAAUUGAUAUUGUUUUCAAUGCAUAAAACAUCAAAAUUUGGUGAAAAUACCGUAAACUUUACAACUACGAAAUUUAUUUGUCUCAUUGUAAGUUAGUGAUAGUCACAAAUAGUAUACCGUCCAUUCAAAUCCGACAUCUCAAGUUUCACCAUAUCAAAAUUAUCUUCAACACACAAAAUCAUACAUUAAUUAAUUAAUUCAUUGUUUGAUUUAAAUGAUUACAAGUUCUAAAUUGUACAGAUUAAAGACUACUACAAAGUCUUUGUGCAAUCUAUCAAACAAUUUGAUUGACAUUCCAAUUUCCAAAUGGGAAUUCGUAUAAGAAUGAUUCUUGGCCAUAUGAAAUCUGAGGUAUCUUUCAAUAUUCUUGGCACCUCAAAAUCUGUUUCCCAAAAUUGUGUAUGGUGGAGAUGAUGCCCGGCCCCAAGGUCAAUGGAGAUUUUAAAGAAGUUGUGGCCAUCGCUUUGCCCUUGACAUAUUAUGAUUUUUGCGCAAUGUUUUUAUCGUUUGUGCGCAACAAGUGGUUGUGCUUUUGCAACUUUUUCCCUUUGUUCAUUAUUAUCCAACUUUCUCUUGUUUGUAUUAUAAAAUUGUUACUUAAUUUGUACAUCAACAUUUCAACGUCACAAUUGGACCCAAAGCCACUCCUCACCAACUAUUUCCUAUCAUACUUGUUGUUAAGUUAUUCAUUAACAACAUAUUAGACCUCGAAGUUUUAAUUAUUGAUCUAUGAUUAGUUUUUUCAAUCAAUAUUCUUCUUAAUUUAUACAUUUCACAAUCUUCAUUAGGUUAGAUAAUGUUAAUCCGCAAUUUUUAUUUUAUUUGGCCAAUUUGUUUGGUAAGAAAUACAUAUGGGACUGGUUUAAAGUGCCCAUUGAUUGUGAUGCAAUACAAGAUAUUUACAUCUUAUGAAUUUCCCUGUCCAUAAUAAAUUAGCUAAUUAAGAUCUCAAUAGUAGGUUACACUCAAUAAAUUAAAAAGGAAAAAAAUCUCUCUUUACUUAUAGGAUUUAAUGCAAUAGUCCAUUUCAUUCUUACUUUUUAAGCAAUAGCGCAUUUCAUUCUUCUUUUUCAAACAAUAACCCAAAACAACCUUCUAUAAAUUUACAAUUAGUUUAUUCUAUAAUUCAUUGUGGGCAAAAUAAAAUUUUCAAUUAAAUAAAUACAAAUCAUUUUAAAAUAAAACUUUCAAGAACAAUUAAAUAACAUUUGACUUUCUACAUAAACUUAAAAUUUAAGGGUGGUGGUAAUAAUAAUAAUAAUAAUAUUUCAAUCAUGAAUCAUUUUCCAUAUUAAAGUCAAGGAUAAGCUAAAAGAUUAAAAAAAAAAAACACUCCUAUGUAGACCAUUUUAUUCUGUAGUAUAUUUAAUGUGUUUUUAUGUUUUUAGUGUGUAUUUUUUUUAAAUAAAUGAAGAAGUUUGUGUUUACUUUGAUAGAAUAACAAUAUUGAUUGAUUAUUUAUUUUUUUAUCUUGACCAUACUAAAGUUAAGGACAAGCUAAAGAAAAAAAGAAUUACUCUAGUGCCUGUGAAAUUUAUGUUUUUUUUAUUUGUUCUAAAUUUAAAGAUAACUUAAUAAAUAAAUAAUAAUAACACUAAAUAAUAUUAAAUUAAUUAAAUAAUAAGAAUGAAAUGAAUUAUUAUAUUAAAUUUAGGGGUGAAAAGAGUAUUCUUUUAAUUAAAAAUUUUACACCCGUUCUGUUCUUCCUUAGCCGUUACUAAGUGCUCGUCUUGCACCAAAAAAAAAAAAAAAAACUAUAUAAGUGCGAGCUGUUGUGUUACACUCACAAAUUAGUUGAACAAAAAAAUUAAACAUAAUUCCACGCUAUUGUAUCGACUUUGAAAUUUUUUUAUUUUAUUUUUUGGUGGGGAGAAUUGAUUGAUUGAAAGGUUAGAAACUAAAGCAAGUUCCAUUAUAAGUUAUGUUUCAAUUACCCAUUACAUCCUCAAAUCAAUUUUAUACAUAAAAUAAUAAAGAUUUUACAUUUUCUUCAGUCUUAUCCCCCAAACUUAGAAAAAUCCUUGUAGGUAAGAAAAUAAAUUUCGAUCAUUAAGAUUAAAGAAAAUGCCCUUCCAAAAAGAGAAAGUGAAAAAGAAAUGGAAUCACGCAAGCAAUCAAAAUUCCAAAACCGUGGAGCCAGAGAUAAAACCAUGGGCGAAGCUGUCCCACUGAAUUAGCAUUCACAUUACACGUCAUUAAUUAUUUUUUAAAGUGCUUUUUUAUUUUGUUGGAAUUUUUUAAAGUUCAUCUGCAAGAUUCUCUUUUCAAUACUCCUCCAUUUUUAGGUGGGGCUUAAUGUUUAAACCGCUUGAUUAGACCGGACGAAAAUUUCAACCAAGCCCCAUCACAUUUGAUGCGCAUCACAAUCCAAUGGUCCAUCAACCAAAGCCAUCAAAAUCCGACACGGCCAAUUAAUUUGUCAAAAUCCGAUGCAAAUCAAUGAAUUUAGAUACUUAAAUUAUAUUGAUUAAUUAUAUUUUAAUUAAUGGAAUUGUAUUUUGUUAUACAUUUAAAACUCAAUUAUUUAAAAAUUUUAUUAAGAAAAAAGUGAUUUGUUACAAUAUGAUUAUACUUUUUUAUUAAAUAUAUUAAAUUUUGUUAAAGAGAUAGACAUAAUAAUAAAUAAAUAAAUGGCAUUAAAGUUUGAAAUUAUUAAUACCAUCAAUAAAUUGAUCACGUGGCCAUAGCCACCUUAGAGUUGCUCUAAGGUAGAAUACGAAUUAUAACCACAUAAGUAAAGUUAUAAAUAGUAAAAAAAUAUAUCAUAACCUUAAUCAUAUAGUUACAAAGAAGUGUUCUACCUUAAAGUGAUUUUAACAUAGUAAAACCCUUUGACCUUAAAGCGAUUCUACCUUAAAACUUAAACCGAUUCCAACAUAAUCGAAUCACGAAUACAUUUGUGUUAGCUUAAACAUUUGUGUUAGCUUAAAUUUAAAACACCGACAAACACAACCAUUAAUCUAAAUUGCCACCACCUACAGAUUACCCUCUCUAGAUAGCUCGGUCCGACGUUAAGUCAUUAUCCACCGCGUCUCAUCACAUCCUGGCCGUAGUUAGGGAUGGCAAUGGGGAGGGGAGGGGAGGGGAGGGGACCAAUCUCUGCUGUACGGCCAAGGCGGAUGUACGGUACAGCAGACAAAGAUCAAUGACAAUGAGUUCUUGAUAGCCAUUUCCCUCUAAUUUCCACUUUUUUGUGUUCUUUUUUAAUUGUGUAUAUGUUUCUUCCUUCUUUUUUCUCUUUCUUUUUCUUUUACUUUUUGUUGGAUGUGAUAAUUUACUGAAUUUUUAGUCUGUAUAUAUACUGUUUAUGACUAGGUUGUUAGCUAGUCUCUUUAUGGCCCUUAAGUUUUAUAAUUAAUUAAGGUUGUGAUAUGUUUCUGCUGUACCGUACAUCCGCCUUGGCCGUACAGCAGUUUCUUUUUUUAAAUUCCAAUUUCAUUUUUACCGACUUUAUUUAGGACUUUAAUUAGUUAAUUAAGCCUAAAAGUUUAAUAAUAUAAAUAUUUUGAUAUUUUUUAUUUUUACCAAUAUUUAUAAUUUAAAUUUUAUAAUUUAUUUACUAGUAAUUUUAAAAAAGUAAAAUAAAAUUAAAAAUUAAAAUGGGGAAAUGGGUAGGGGAUGGGGAUUCCACCUCAUCCCCGUCCCCUCCCCGAAUAAAAAAUUGGGUAAAAAAUUUUCCCCGUCCCCUCCCCGAAAAAAAAAUUGGGUAUAAAAUUAUCCCCGUACCCUCCCCGAAUGGGGAAAAUCCCCGAGGGUACCCGUCCCCGUGGGGAUUUUUGCCAUCCCUAGCCGUAGUCGAUGGCCCAAAAUUUCGAUCACGAUAAGAUUGGAGUGAAAUUAGAGAAUUUAUCCAUCUCGGAUUCAUUGUUAGAUAUUUACCCAAAAAAAAAAAAAAAACAACAUUUGUCAAUAUUUCUGCUGACGAUAAUUACAAAAAUUAAUUCAUUUUCUUAACAUAUUCAAUACAAUCUUUGGAUUCCUGAUUGAGAAAAGUUCCUUGUUAGGAAGGGAAUAUAAAAUUUAAAAAAAAAAUAAUCAACUAAAUAUUCCUUUUGCUUUGAGGUGACUAGGACGACAUGCAUUUGGUUAACUUAAUAGUUAUGUUAAAAGAUUAAGAAAAAAAAAUAAUCCUUAGCAUGUGGAAUCGGCAGUCUUGGUCGUCUCUUCAGGUGUAAAUUCGAAGUUUAAAAUAAUAAAGAAGUUUUGAUGCUCAGAGCCCACACUAAGUGCCACUUUGUAGAAAUUAUUAAUUUAGGUUCAAGUUGCUCGCAGAACACAGGAAACUCUAGACUGCAUCCAUGGUUUUGUUUGCUUGGAGUUUGAACAGAGAUAAAAUAAUUUGUCUAGAAUGCAAGGAGGAAGCAAAUGAAUGAAUAUUUGCUUUCUAUUUUUGUAGCCAAAUUGAAUAAGAACACUUAUAAUUAUGUACUUUUCAACUUUUGAAGCUGGAAUCUGAAAUGUUUUAUGUAGUAGAAAUUUCUUGGAGUCUCUUUUGAUUGAUUCCAUGGUAUUUACUAAUUUUGUUAACGAGAAACAUUUGAUUGGUCUCCAAUAAAUCCACAAACUCAUUAAAGAGUUCGUGAUUGCGAGGGAAACAUAUAUACGUGCACGUUAAGAACAACUGAUUUGGAAAAAGAUUUACCAAUAUGUAAGGGAACAAACUGGAUAAUUCUAUAAUCUCUUUUUAACUUCAUAAUCGACUUCUCAUGCGCAUUCAAAUAUAUUUCCGAACACAACCUUUUUUCCGAAGCACAUAAAUUAAGUACCUUAUUUUUUUUUAAUACUGUUAUACAAGACUGUUACUAAUAUUACAUUAGAUAUUACAAAUAUUAUUUACCAACAAAUUAUACAAUUGAAACAUUCUUCGUAGCAUGUACUCCUCUGAAGCACUGCCCAAAUUCUUUAAAUUCUCUUAAAUGUUCGAGAGUUGUCCACUCUAUUUACAUUUCGUGAAGGAUAGACUGGCCCCACUCAAUUAUUUGAUAAUUGAGAGAAUAUUGAAAUUAACCCCCAUAAUACUUUUAUGGAGGCUCAAAUUUUUACACUCAAUAUUAUAAGUGCAAAAAUUCUCCUACUGUUGAGUACAUAAAGGCACCAGGUCGGCCAUGCUACUGGUUCCGCCCCGGCACGGAUCGUUUCAGCUAUAUGGUACGAGCAGAACACGAGGUUAAACAGGAGCCGACCCGAGAUGAAUGCGACCAGGAAAACAUACCGACCAGAAGUAUACGCCGAGCCGAUACUCAUCCCCAGGAAAGCGGGAACACGAUCUCACAAAAUCGCGGUAGUUGCGCUUCUCCCAGAACGGUUGAAGGACACGCGAGAUCCACGUUUGCCCACAAUCUAACAGUUAGAGUCCCAUGAGGGGCUACCACCACCCGAAAAAGGAGGAAUCAGGGGCAAACGAAAAACGUGGGACAAAGGGCGGCUAUAAAAAAGAAAGACAUCGAAGAAGACAAGGGAGAAAAAAAUUAAGAGAGGGAAAACGCUGCCAAAUUGCAACGAGACUAUUUUCUUACAGAUCUCGAACAAACUUCUUGAACCCAAAUUAUAUUGUUUUCCCGUAAACACCUUGUGCUAACUUAGGCAUCGGAGGGUUUACGCCGGCAAAACCACCGGCGUCUCUGAUCCAUUUUUGGUGAACGCAGGUCUAGUGAGAGAAAGGAGGGUGAUCCCGGCCUUAGUGGUUCGAGCAACAGUCGAUAACUUAAGCGUUGGUGAAAGAAUCUGGUCGGUCCAAGGACGAGCAGAUCUCAGCAUCAACACCUACUGGACCAAAGACCCAUUGAUAAUUAAGUAGGUUAAUUACGUUACCAGUCUAAUGACCAUUUUUAUGCUUUAAUAUUUGGCAAGAGAAGCAUAAGCUUCGAUUUGGUAAGACCUUAAGCAAACUCACCAGGCAUAGUACACCUGUGACAGCAGCGUCAUCAGCCACAAAACCUCCAAGUCCAUUUGAGCAGGAUAGGAAUUUUGAUUUCAUCACCUCAUCCAACAUCCAUUGUCUUGGUCACUCUCAUUCAUCCCAAGUAGAAACCAAAUGCAAUGUCAACCAAAUCAAUUCGGUUCCGUCAAACAAAGGAUUUCCUAUGAUGUAAUUACAUCCGUUCGUUAUUAAGAUUAAUAAUUAUAUCUUAAAAGUUAUCUAUGCAAUGUCUGAUAAAAACUUAAGUGUUUUUUUUUUUAUCUGAAAAUUUGAAUGAACUUGAAUAAGUUUGAAUUAUGAAUAAAAUUGAAUUUUGAAUGUUUCAAUUUGAAUGAUAUAUUUUUUGACAUGAAUUACUAAAAAUAUAUAUUAAGUUGUUUAUUUUUUAACUAAAAAAAAUCUAAAAUCUACUAUUUUUACAUUUGUGCUUUACAAAUUAUAAAUGUUUAACAGAUGAAAAACAUUUCAAAGAAUUUAAAUAAGAUAAUAAAGUAUCAUAAUAUAAAUCAUGUUCAGUUAAAUACAACCCUUUAUAUUUUAAAUUAAUAUAUGUUAAUAAAUUUUAUUGUAGUUUAUAAUGCUUUUAAAUGAAGAAUAUAAAUAAAAAAUUAUGAAAAUGAAUUAAUGCUAUCUUGUAGAAAUAAAAAUGAUAAUAAUUUACCAUUUCAUUAUCAAAAGUUAUAGAGAUGGGAAAUAAUGCUAAUCAUUAAAUGUUAUUUAGGUAAAGAUAAAAAUUAAUUAAUUAAAUAGAAAUAUUUUAGAAAUUUUUUUUGAUAACAUCAUUCAGACUUUUUAGAUUGAAUAAAAAACUAAAAAAAUUGUUUAAUAACUCAAUGAUUAAAAAUUUUCAUUAGGUUAAAAAGAUAAAUGAUCGUAAUAACUUUCUUGAUUGAACAAAUAACUUUUUAUUAUUGUAAUUUAAAAAUUAAAUUAAAUGAUUUGAUUCUACUAUUAUAUGGCAGAAAAAUUUAUAGUAACGUAGCUAUUAAAAUUAUUUUUAAAAAUUAUAUUUAUUUCGCACUCUCAAAUUUAAUUACCUGGAUAACCUCAAAUCAAUGGCCUUCAUUUCCCCUUAAAAAAAAAAAAUCGAACGAUUAACAAGUGUUCAUGAAUAGUCCACCAAACAUUAACUCUCUGGUCGUUACUUCACCGGAUAAAAAGUUCUCUUCACGGUUGCUGAGGCGGCUUUAGCGGCUUGACACAUAAUUACGCUUAGCUAGAAGACAAACCAUCAUGUGGGCCCCACACAUCACUACACGUCAUCAUCCACGCUCAAGAAUUAUCGUCCACAUGCUGGGACCCACACGUCGCCAUACCAUCUCUACUUCCAUUGGACGAUAAAACAAAUAAAAAUUAAAAAGCCAAAUAAAUAUCUCCUCAAAUGACGAAACUACCCUCGCCUAUCUUCCUAUAAAUUGAAAUGCAUCCUCUUUAGCUCGGAAUCCCAAGUCCGAGCUUUGAACUUUCCAGUUAAAGCCAAAGAGUUCCGAACGGAUCAAAGUUUUCUUGUAGGAGAGAGAAAUUUCUAGGGCGAGAAAGCGAGAGAAAAGGAAAUUUGGUAGCUUAAAAUGUUGGGAGUGUUCAGCAGCGCGAUCGUUUCACCUCCAGAGGAGCUGGUGGCGGCCGGAAGCCGGACUCCGUCGCCGAAGACCACAUCGACGGCACUGGUCGACCGUUUCCUCCAGACCAACUCGUCUGCUGUGUCCGUACAGGUCGGGGACAACGUCACCCUCGCGUACACUCAUCAGAACGAGUCUCCUUUACGGCAAAGGUAAAGACAACAGUAAAGUUUCUAUUAAUAAUUUAAGCGACACCGUUUCUGUUCUUGAUCUUCGUGCUACAGAGUUGGUUUUGGUACCUUGAAGUUGUCGGAGUUUUUCUCUGACAGAGAAAUGACUAGUUUAAGGAAUUGUUUUCUAAUUCUGUCGGACAUCCGGAAUCAUUAGCUUUAUUAUUUACGGAUCAGACGGUGCAGAGCGUUUGAUCAAGUUAGCGAUAUGCCUGCACGGCUACACUAACACACUUUUGGAUUUGCUGACCGGUUGAUUUCUGAAAACUGAAAAAAUAAUAACUAAUAACAAAAGCAAUUUGAUUGCACAAUUACUCUUCUCUACUAAAAAAUGAAAUAUUUUUUUUUGACCUUUUAUUGCGUUCGUGUGCUUUUUGUCUGACCCGGACCUAUAUAAAACUGAAGUGGCACCGGACUUGCUUCCAUUUACACAGAGGUGUUUCAUUAGAGAGAUGACAUGUUUGCAAACCUCACGCGAGGUUAGUUGAUUUAUGGAUAUGGCGUGACAUAAUAUGAUUUAUGAAUUAUAUAAGUGUGUACUUACUCAAUUAUUACAAUUAAUUGAGGAUUUUUUUGAAAAUUUUGAGAUAAUUUCUUUAAUAUAACUACAAUAUAUAUAUAUAUAUAUAUUAUAAUUUUGGCUGUAGAAUCUCUUACUUAUUAUACAUUAUUUCAGCUAAAAUAUAAGCGAUAGAGAAAAAGAGAUUUUUCUGAAAAACAAAUAAGAAAUCAGUUUCGACGGCCAUUAUUUGUUUGAGUGCGGGCCAUCGACUGAUGUCGAUCCCGUAGGGAAAUCCAAGCGGGAGAUGUUAUGGCAUCUUACAUGGCGUCCGGAUUCUCUUACCGUGGAUUUGUCUCGAAGUGAAUAGUCACACGCCACACGUGAUGUCUCGUCUUGCGUUUGGCAGAUAUUCCGAUGAACUGAUCAUCUGAGCGUACACGUGGACGACAGACCACGUGAACGGUCAGUGGUUGCUAACCUAAGUGACAUUUUCUACUAGUUGCUGCCUGUGACUUUACAGUGAGACUGGUUGUCCAACUCUAGGAAAAAAUAGAACUUUCGUGUGCAACGUUAGAAAAUAUUAUUUAAGUCUUAUGUUUGGUAAAAUUUGAAUAAAAAAAUAUAACAUAUUUCAAUCUUCUGUUAGGGUAUUAACUUGGUAGUUUUUUAUAGCGAAAUUUUCAGCCAAGUUGCGAACACGAAGAUGAUGGCAAAUUUGAAUUGUUUGAUUAAUGAUAUCUUAUUUGAUUUUUUUAUUUAAAUUAAUUUUUUUUUAAAAAAAAUUUAAACAUUAAAAGUAACUUUCAUGGUUGCAUCUAGUGGUGGUACCCAAUAAACUUUAUUUAUGGGAGAACUAAAGGAUAAGGAUAAGGAAACGUAUUAGAUGGGGACUGGGGAGUAGGGACACCGACUUAUUUGUAAUAACAUUUGAAUCAUAAGAUUAAUAAUUUGACUGUGGAUGCUGUGCAUGGCAGAUCAUUUGCUGUGAAAGAUGAGAUCUUUUGCUUGUUUGAGGGAGCACUUGAUAACUUGGGAAGCCUGAGGCAGCAAUAUGGACUAGCUAAGUCGGCAAAUGAAGUGAUCUUGGUGAUUGAGGCAUACAAGGCUCUGCGUGAUCGGGCCCCUUACCCACCGAACCAUGUCGUUGGCCACCUUAGUGGGUACUUUGCCUUCAUUGUCUACGACAAGUCCACCUCCACCUUGUUUGUGGCUUCUGUAGGUUUAUUUAAUUUCUUACCUACCAAAAAACCUAUGUGAAGCUUAUCGCUUUGGUUGGUUUUGGAUAGCAACUUUUUAAUAAUGUUAACAACUGUGGCAGGACCAAUUUGGUAAGGUUCCUCUUUAUUGGGGAAUCACUGCUGAUGGACAUGUUGCCUUUGCUGAUGAUGCUGACUUGCUCAAAGGUGCUUGCGGCAAGUCACUUGCUUCUUUCC